rnacentral:lncRNA from 1 species
AAUGAGUUAUUUUUUUAUUAUUUAUUAUUUUACGUGUAAUUAAAAUUCGUAUUUUACCGUAGGUGAAUUCCAACAUAUCAAUAACCUAAUAUAAAAUGUCAUCUCAAACUGUAUUAAUGGAAUAAUUAGUGCUUGUUAAAGAGUUUAUAUUUCUAGAAUUUUUGAUUUAGUAUAUAAUUAUGUAGGGCAAAGCAAACGGGAAUCAACAAUUACGUGGUAGGGUCCACAAACCAACUAUAAUAUUCGUACAAGCUAAGCAAAUGUUGGGGAACUCCAGGUGGGGGGUUGGGUGGGGGCGAAUGAAAAGGGAGAACAACCUCAGCUCACCGGUCAAAUAAUACGUUGCAAAUCACGCUUAGCCAUUGAUUACAAAAGGAUGGUUGGGCCGAAUGAGUCAAUUUCGCAAAGACUGCCUUGUCCAACAUAAACUUUUCGAAAAUCAUCAUUCUGGCGACUUCUUCCAAGGCAUCGCCAAGUGUAAUGAUAUACCCCUAUAAACCAACAAAUUGAAUCAUUGCACAUUUGAUCCCCCUGUUGUUUUCUGUUUCACGAAGGUGCCACAGACCCGAUGACUUGGACUUGGAAUAAUUAAAAAAAGGCCAAAAAAAAAAAAAAUGUUCCUGUUGGUCAUGUUAAAGGCACAGAUUCCCCUUCUCCUCCAAUUCUCUCAUUCAUUGUCCUUUCGCACAAUUGCACAUGGGAAUGGGAGUGCAGAAGCCAAGGAGUAAGCGUGUCAGCUGUGCCUUGCCACUUGGGACUUUUUUGUUUAGGGAAGAUACGAAUUACUGUUUACAAGUGCAUUACUUUUACUUAUCAUCGAUUCUUGUGGGAAAUGUAUUUCCUCUUCUGUCGUCCGGCGAACGCGAUUCGAGUGAAAUAAAAUUAAAUUGAUUUACAUAAAAAAAUUAAAAGAAAAGCGGAUAGUGAAUGAUAUAUAACAUAACAACAAAAGGAAUAGCUUAAUAUAUACUGAUAAUAAUCAUAAGUCUCCAAAAUAACAAACAUAAAUCAAAUCAUAUCAUCACAUCUCCGUGAGCUACAAAGCAUAACUGAUAACUCUCUCUCAUUAUAAAAUUUAUAUGUAAUAAGACUCACUCCCUAAAAGACUAAAAACCCAGUGGAUCCGCCGCUACUAAGCCCACAUAACGUCUAAACAACGCAAAAAAAGAAAAAAAAAUGAAGAAACCACUCUACACACCCAAUAAGCUAGUGACACGUAAUCAGAUAGAGAACCGGCCUCUUAAACCCUGAGAACUGAGCCGAACACCAGAGCGGAAAGGAGAGCGACACCAGCGGCGGCUAAGGAAGGCGAGAUCGAGCCGGCUCCGGAAGCGGGAGCUGGAGCGGGAGAGAGAUCUUGAGCCGACCCUGCGAGAACCAAGGCGGCCAGGACAACGGCCAUCAUCAGCGUAGCCAUUGAAGCCUUUGAGAAUGCCAUUAUUGAAGCCUUUUUUUCUCAGGGUUUUUGAGAGCGUAACCGAAGGAAGCUGAGAGAGAUUCUUUUUCCUGUGUCUGUAUGUGGGAAGUGUUAGUAUUUAAGACAUGAGAAGAAAAUAGUGAGGUUUAUUUAUAGACUGAAAAGUGUGGACGGGAAGAGAGAAUUUCGGGCAGCGGCCCGGAUUUUUCCAGUCUGUCUAUUGGUUUCUUGACAGCUAUGUUUAUUUGUGGGGCCCAGUUAAUUAUAAUUUCACGCGACCGUUUAGGGUAUCGAACGGCGAAGCGACGUCGUGUCGGUUCACGAGUGUGACUUACGCCGAGGAAAUAAUUGAUUCUUUGGGAUUGGGAAAAAUUUGAGCAAAGUAAAAUUACGGAAACAGCAGCGAAUUAUAAUAUCGCAGUCUGUGAUAAACUUGAUAACUAUCUACUUGAAUUGAUAGGACAUAUAAAAAGAACAUUGUAUUAUUUAAAGGAUUGAAUAAUUUAAUUGAUAAAAAUCUCUUACCGCUAAGUUUGGAGAUCCAUUUGCACUCAAAUUUGGUGGAGGAAAAUUUUGAUUUCAGUUGUGUUAUGUUAUUAACAAAAAUUAUUGUUCAAAAAAUGCCUUUUUGUAGCUGCAAUAAAUGAGAAAAUUUUAAAGUACUUUUUUUUUAUUAUUUAUAUAAAUUGAACGAAAUCUUGGUGUGAUUAUUUUGUAAAUUCUCGAGAACUUUUGGGGUGGGGUGGGGGAUUUUGUGUAUGAAUGUAUGAUGAGUUCAUUGAAGAGGCGAAUGUUUAAUGGUGGGAUUGAUGAUUAGGGAUCAGUGAUGGUGCAGUUGAUUCCGCUACAAAGAUUUUUGUAAGCGCCCACAGACAGCCCACGUGGGAUGCGGUGGCUCGACCAUUAGGAGGAGGACGCGUGGAGACGUGGAAGGGCACGGGCUUUUUUAAUAUUCGAAUUUUGAAUUUGAAUAAUCGGAUGUGGACCUGUGGACAGUAUGAAAUGAUCGUGAAUUUUGUGGGUUUCCAGAACUUUCCGUUUGGCGUGUGCGACUGUGUGUUCAUUGGCAGGCACAUGUAGGAGUGUUACGAAGUUUACGCGUUAAACGUAUGCGGAAAGAAAAUGGUUUAACUUUGGGUAAAUGUUUAAAAAAGGAAAUUUCAAUCAACGCUUCUUCUUCUUCUUCUUUUUUUUUUUUUUAUUCCAUAAAAGAAGAUCUUUAAUUUCUGUAAUUAUAUCAUAAUUGAGUCCAAGAAGAUCUGGCUGCAUUGUUGUAAUUUUAUUUAGUUAACCAUAUAAAUUUGAGUCCCGAAGUUAAAAACUUAAUUUUAAUUUUAACUGCUCUUCCAUCUUCUUUUUGUUUUUGUUUUUGUUUUUAAAUGAUCAUGAAACACCUCUUCUCAUUAAUUAAUGUAGAAAAAAAAAGGUUUCAACCACUCCUACGUAUAUUAGCAUGAUUUCUUUUUUAAAUAUUAUUUGAUUGGUAUCAUUGCAAAGUUAAUUUAGAUUCAGUAGUUUAUUUUGGCUAAAACAUCAUAUAUUUAAGAUGCAUCAUCAGAAAAUUGAUUUAGAGUCACCUAAUUUUGAGCUCAAAUAUUAUAUAUUUGCACUCACAAUCAUAUAAUUGGUUUAGAUUUAAUCUGUUUUAAGCUCAAAUAUGUAGCUAUCACAUAAAUAAUUUAGAAUGUUACAAUAUUCUAAGGGCGUGGUCGGGUUAAUUAUAGUGCAGUUGUAGCCUCUACCAAAAUCCGGGUUCGAUUCUUAGAGAUCAAGAUUAUGUUUAGGCUCGCCCACCUCCUCUUACUUUAAAAAAAAAAAAUUUAGAAGGUUACUAAUAUUUUUUUAAUUAUAAAUAUCAAUAUAUAUUGUAAUGUAAUAUUCUUUUUUUUUUUAAAAAAAAAAGGUCAGGUAGAAUUGAUCUCCCUCAUACCAAAUUUUGUAAAAAAUAAUUUAGGUUAUGCCGAUUCAUAAGAUGAGGGGUUCAUAUAGUUUAGUUCAGUUGAUAAUUUUUUUUUUUUGGUUGAAAAAAGAGAUAUGAGAUUUAAAAUCAGUUUAGGUGAGCAAGGACGGUUUUGGGUUGUCACCGAGCUAAAUUAAAAAGGAUUAAUGAGAUGAGACGAGUGGUUUGUUAAAAAGAAUAGUGCCACAUAUUAUAAAGUUUGUGUCAAAAAAAUUCAUCCUAUAAAAGAAGAGACACUCCUAAUAGGCAUGAAAAAAAAUACAAUAAAUCGUUUUAAAACAUAACUGUGACUAGAACAUCCCCUUGUGAAGAUAUAUUUUUUAUUUUUUUAAAAAAAAUUAUUUAAAUAUCUCUAAUGUUCAUGCAACAAAUACGAUGAAUAGUCACAAGGGCAGUCUAGAAAAAGGCAUUUACAAAUACACGGCGGGCCAACAAAGAAUCAUUCACCUUCUAAUCCUUCGAUGUCUGCUUGCAACUCAACUAAACUAACAGCAUUCCAAAAUCAGCAAGAAAACGAUUUAAGAACUUAUUUUGGAAUGCUAUUAGUUUUUAAGGAUUAAUGAGAUGAGAUGAGUGGUUUAUUAAAAAGAGUAGUACCACCUACUGUAAAGUUUAUGUCAAAAAAAUCCAUCCAAUAAAAGAAGAGACACUCGUAAUAUGCAUUAAAAAAAAACACACAAUAAAUCAUUUUAAAACAUAACGUGAAUCAAACAUCACCUUAUGAAGAUAUAUAUAUUUAAAUAUCUCAAAUGUUCAUGCAACAAAUGCGAUGAAUAGUCACGAGGGCGGUCGAGAAAAUGCGUUGACAAUUACACGACCGGCCAACAAAAAAAUCAUUCACCUUCUAAUCCUUCAGUGUCUGCUUGCAACUCAACUAAACUGAUAGCAAUUAGCAUACCAAAAUAAGCCAAAAAAAAAAAAAAAAAAGAUUUAAGAAUCUUAUUAUUUUACUCGUUAAUAUUGCUAAGCAUAUGGCAGCCCUGGGCGGCUGUGGAGUGCAGCCUGGCGUUGGAUUUGCUCACAGACAGGACCUGUAAGGCUGAAACAACACGGCAGCAACAAAGAAAGUAGUUUUAUUUACGUAAUACAAUUUUUUAUACCUUUAUUUUUUAUCUGCAUGAUUUAGUUCUUACACAGACGUGCUAACGAGAAUCAUCCAGUAGCUGGUGUCACUUGUCAACUACUCCUUAACUUAAAGAGCAUAUUUGGGAUUGUCAAGUAUUCCCAAAUUAGUGAUUAUUUGAGAAUUUGUUAUCACAUAUGGUUGGUUCGAGUUAUUCUCUCAGACAUAUCACACCAAUAAUCAUCAAAUAAGUGAGAAUCAAACAAAAUUUGAAAGCAAAUUCUCAAGUAAUUGGUUAGAUUGUAUGAAAAUUUGACUUGUGAAUAUCAAGUAACCUCAGAAUUAGAAUGACUGUAAUGUAUACAUUGGCAUUUACUAUUUACUAAUCACCAAUCAUAGCUUUCUAUUUGGCUCAAUGGCUGAGUGCAAAUCCAGAUGAGCAUGAAAUUCAAAUCAACUCAAAAACCGUUAGAGAAAACAAAAUAUCUUUGAAGUAGUUAUCACUUCAUUAUUAUCAGUAGGAUGAAAAUGAUCGAAGUUAAAAACGUCCAAAAUUAUUAAAUUCAUUUAUCUAACCUGAAUAAUGGACACAUAUACCACGUUGGCUGUCAUUCCUCUGUACAUACAAGAAUCUCACUGUAUCAUCAAAGAGGCUAAUCCUAUGUAACAGUCCUCUCAAUUCGUAUUAUGCAACACGUCUAUCCGAAAAGCUCCUAAUCAUCUUUCUUCCUCGGCUAUUACCAUUCAUUCAAAAGUCAACUCAAAAGGUAGACAAAUUUAUUUGUUAAAAGCCCAAAACUUUAGAUGAUAUAUUCAUCAGAGGUUGUAAAGCACUCGGUGCAAAUUUUCUUCCAAAGAGAAAGCAAACUGUAGAGGGCUGGUUAUUGUAUUUGCAAUGCUGACCUCCAUAAACUUUCUUGAAAAACUCCUCUGUUAUGUCGGCUCUUCCGAAUGUGGCUGGAUGAGCACCACCUCUCGACCAAUCAACCCAAGUGCUGCUUCUAUUUGCCAAGAGAUUUGGCAUUUGAAUAGAUAGCAUGGUGGGAAAAUAGUGUUCGUCCACAUAACAAGGUGGUCUACAGAAUUCCGCGAAUUUUGGAUAAUAUGUAGUAUCUUCCACAAUGUUGACUGCAAGCCUUCGGUUGAUUUCAAACCAUUGGGAUCCUUUGCGCCACUGGGUAAUGUUCACCACAGGUGCCAUGUUCGCAUUGUAGCGUCCUCUCCCAUAUGGUCCAGGGUCAUCAAAUGAACCCAUGAAACUAUGUUUGGAUUUCUUUAUGUAAUGGUAGAUGAGGGAGAAAUUAUAAAGAGGAAUGCAAGACUCAGAGACAAGAAUGAACCAUUCAUUGGAGAUAUCAAGCAAUGCAUUAGCAAGGAGUCUUCUCUCAGCAUCGCACAUGCUCAUUUUUCCCCAUUCAGAGAUCUGCAAAGGGAAGAUACAGAAGACAUUACAAUCUCCUCUAAAUUUUGGGAAAUAUUGUAUUCAAAGCUAUGUGCUAAAGUAAAUAGAAUAAGCAGAUAAAGCAUAACCAUCAAAGGCUUUCAGAAGAAUGCAAGACAGUUCCACUACCAAACACUUCACCUAGAACAUGUAAUGAUAACAUUUGGUAAAGGUAAUCAUAAAACCUGUUAUUUUCCAGGAUCAAAGGGUAUCAAGUAUCAAUUUUACAUUUGGGACAGGAUUAUGGUAGCUGCUUGUUGUUGAAAUGGCACUGUAGCAGAGCUAACCAAAUCAGAUCUCCAUUUCUUGGAGGAUUUGUAUCCUGUUCCAGUUACUACAAGGGGGCAACUCAAGAACAUACAUGUCUUCCUACUUGUCCAAUACAAAAACGUAGGGAGAAAAAAAAAAUCAAAUAAAACGCACUUCGUCGAGCCAAUAUACAUACAGACAGCUCAACCCUCCCCCUUGGUGUUUUGGGAUCCAAAAUUUUUCACCUCCACACGAUAUAUGGCAGUGGUUACCAGCCUUAGAUAAACUUACACUGUUGCAGUUCCCAACUUUCAAAAUUCAACCCAAAAAAUGACCGACUCUUAUUGUUGAUCAUUCACUCAAACCCAGUUUUGCUGGUGAAAGUUAUAAUGUAUGCCAUCAAAUUAAUUAGAAAAUGUUUGCCAAGUAACAUUCAAGAAUGCCACCAUGUCAUCUAUGGAUUGUCCGCUCCUGCUAGAUUCCUCGCAAUUUCUCAUGGACUCCAAUAAUCCGUAAGGCAAUCAGGGGAAAAAAAAAGGAGCAAAAUUUUAACUUGGCUAAGCAAAAACAGAAUAUAUUUAGUUUAUAAACAGAAUCUGUUAAUCAGCAUAUUCCUAUUCAACAGAGUAUUUCUAGACUUUGAUCGUGAAUCACCAUGCAUAUAAAAGUGAUGAUGCUAAAUGGGAACACUACUUUCUACUUUCAAACACCAAGAGCCUACAGAUGACUGAGAGGUCCUAAGAACUGAAGAUUGUUAAACAAAAUUCGGAAAGCUAUGCAAGCAUGCUAACACUAUAUAGAUCCUCAAAAGAAUAAUUCACAUUAUAGGUAAAAAAUAAAGUACUGCUCAUCAUCACUCAAGAGAAGAAGAUCAUAACUUACAUCGUCAUAUAAUCAAUAGUACAACAAAGAUGAUCAGAUGAAGUUUCCACCAGAAUUUUAAAUGAAUAAAUAAAACCUGCAAUAGAUAGAUAUAAUGUCAGGCAUACCUGACUUGGGAUUUGUCUGUUGUAAAAAACUGAUGAAGAUGGAAACUUGUUCUCGAAUGUUGGCAGAGAAUGAACAUAGAUAGAAUAUAGCCCUUCAUGCCCCUUGAAAAACUUCUCCCAAAGAGGUCCAAGAGGUAAUGGCCCCUUCGUCAAGAACAUAAAUGCAAUCUUUGGAACUCUCUUAAAGGGAUACUCCUUCACUCGAGGCACAAAUGAGGCCCUCCAAAAAAGCUCCUUAUCACUCAUUGUGUGCAUUAAAUUUGAUGGAGGAUUUAUCCAAUAAUCCAAACCAUUCGGUAGUUCAGGGCAUGCCACAAAACUGGACUUAACCGUUGUCACAACACUCUGGACUCCAAACCGACGAACUGAGUAUAUACUAAUCAACGAAAAGGCUAUACACAGAGCCAGAAACAAACCAAAUAACUGAAAUAAUCUCAGUGGCAAGGCCCUAAAUUGAUUUGUCUUGUUAACAACUGCAGGGUCUUUGCCUUCCUCUAGCGGAACAACCCUUGCUUGCAUCUUUAUAACUCUAAAUCAAAUCAAAAUUUCACCUUCUGCGUCAGAUCCAAAUCAACAUCCUAGCAUCAAAAGCACUACUAAGCCUCAAAAUACCAGCUAAUUUAUUCACCAGAGCUAGCAAAAAAAACAGCUUUUUUUAAAUAUUUGAAAUUUGUGGAAUUCAAUAUGUUUCAGCAAAACAACCCCACUUAGCAACAGUAACGAAAUUAGAUCUAGAGCUGACACUACAGUACUCAAAAAGCAAGUAUUAACAGAUAUAGCACAAUCAUCAGCUUUCACAGCACAUGGGUUUCUUGAAUAAGAAGCUCUUAGCAAAAAUCAAAAGUCCAGAUCGGACUACUUGAUAGUCUAUAGAUCAAACGAAACCAUUAACGUGAUUGGUGGGGUGAUGAAAAACAGUACACGAUGGUGAACGUUCAACAUACCAUGUAAAUUUGUUGGGGCUAUAUGAGGAAACAAAGUUUGAAGCUUUAGCUCGAAUUGCGCCACCAAAGAAGAGAAACAGAACGGUCAAAUAAAUGAACAAAGUUAGGCAAAGAAAAUAAGAGGAGAAAAAGAGAAAAGUCCUUGGGACGCCCAAAGAGAGAGAGAAAAGGAGGUCCAAGAAAGUGGGGAAUCAAGGAAAUUUUGAGUGUGUGUGUAUGUAUGUAUAUAUAUAUAUAUAUAUAUAUAUAUAUAUAUAUAUAUAUAUAUAUAUAUAUAUAUAUAUGGGACUUUGAAUUUGAGGAAAUCACAGAAUUGUAAUUAGGUGAAUUGUGAAAUGUGGAGAAUUCAAAGAAUGUUUUUUGAUUUAACACGUACAGUGGAAGUGUCUGCUUCGUCUUUUGUGGGUUAGCCGUCACCAUGUGAGAGGCGGUUUUUGCAAGGUAAUAAUACGGCAAUGUCUUGCUGUCAUUUUGUAACGUUUUGGAAAACAAAUUUACCCUGAUUCAUUUGCCUUGAUAGAUCCUUUUUUUUUUUUAACCUUUUUUUUUAUAACUUGAAAUAGAAUGAAAUUAGUCAAAAUUUAAAUUUGAAUGAUAUGUAAAUUUUUUUAAAAUUUUUAAAAAUAAAUAUUAAAUUAUUUGUUUUUUAAUUUUAAAAAACUGACAGCCUAUACUUUUACAUUUUUACCCUUACUAAAUUUAAAUGUUGAAUAAAUAAUAUAUUUUUAAAAGAACUUAAAUAUGAUAAUAACAUUAUCUUUUUUUUUAAAAAAGGAUAAUAACAUUAUCUAAAUCAUCUUCAAGUAAAUGAUUUAUGAAAUCAUUCACUUGGCAUAGGGUUGUUCUAACUUAACCAAUGUUUUUUAUUCGAAUCUUGAAAAUGCAGUUGCGUUAAAUACUUAUUGGAAGAGCUUUGACGCCCUAGUGGUCUUACCCAGCUCGAAUUUGAAUUAGUCGAGACCUAAUGUAGUUUCGGAUACCAAAUAGUUUAAUACACGAAAAAAAAAAUUUAUAAAAUUAUAAUAUAAAAAGUUCUUUAAAAUUAUCACAAGUUCACAAUGCUAGUGCGUAAUAUAAGAAAAAACUAACAAGAUACUUGGGAAGUAAAAAAAAAGAAAGAAAAAACUGAACAAAAAUUCUACAAGAAAAGACUGUCAAUGGAAUCAAUUAUGGACUAUCAAAGGCCAUAAAGGAGAUUCAAGAAAUCCUUCGCGUGAAUGUUGUGUCUCAUCAUGAAAAGUAUCUUGCCUUGCCAUCUAUGGUAGGGAAAAACAAAAGACAAUUCUUCAAGUCGAUCAAGCUUCGAGUGCUCAACAAAUUAAAAGGAUGGAAGGCCAGGCUCUUCUCAAGCGGUGGGAAGGAAGUAUUGUUAAAGGCUGUCAUUCAAGCCACUCCUGUUUAUGCUAUGGGCGUUUUCAAGUUGCCAAAAUGCUUAUGCGAGGACCUACAGCGUUGCAUCACAAAUUGUUGGUCGGCCAACUAUGAUGACUCUAAAUGCAUUCACUGGCUUUCUUGGAAGAAUCUUUGCAAGCCAAGGAAGGACGGGGGGCAUGAGAUUUAGAUAUUUAGGUCCUGUUUGUGAUUGAAGUAUGCUGUUAAAAAAAAUUAUAGUUAUAUUAUAAAAAUUAAUAAUAUGUAGUAAAUAUAAAUUUUAAAUAAUAAUUUUGACAAAAUUAUUAAAGAUAUAAUAGAUUUUAUAUUAUACAAGUGAAAAAUCAUAUCAAUCUAAUUUUUAACUUAUAGCAGUUAGUAUUUACUGAACACUUUAGUGCUGUAGCUUAACCUCAAUCUCAAACGCGCUCUUAAGUUCCUUUAAUUAAGCGCUCUUGGCCAAGCAAUGUUGGGGAAUACUACAAGCACCUGAGUCUCUUUUGGCCAAAGUUCUUAAAGCUAGGUACUUUUCCAACACAAACUUCCUAAGUAGCAAAAUCAAAAGCGGCUCAUCUUUUGUAUGGAAGAGUACUCUAUGGGGCCGUGAAGCUAUCAACACUGGCUCAAGAUGGAGGGUUGGCGCUGGUAGGAGCAUAUUUAUUUAUAGAGAUAAUUGGAUGCCAAGUCCAUUAUCUUUUAAACCUAUAUCCCUGAAGACAUGCAUUGCCGAGUGAUUCUAAAGUUUCAGACCUGUUAAUAAAUGGUAACGAAUGGAAUGAGCAGCUAAUAAAGUAAUUCUUAAAAGGAGUCCCCUUGCCACGAGUCCCUACUAAUGACAUUUUAGUGUGGCGUUAUGAAAAAAAGGAGGAUUUUACACAGUUAAGAGUGGUUAUCAAGUGUCCCUUAUUCUCACUCAUCCUAAUUCCCCUUCAAGUUCAUUUGGCUCCGCUAAUUGGUGGUAUCCCUCUUGGCUUUUAACCAUUCCAUCUAAAGUCAAGAUCUUUUUCUGAAGAGCUCUACGCAAUAUACUCCCUACAUCAAAUAAUCUUUUUCAACGAAGGGUAGUGGAUUCCCCACAUUGUCAACGAUGUUACAGUGCUGUUGAGGACACCUUUCAUGUGCUAGUUAGCUGUAAGUUUGCGAUGAAGGUGUGGAAGUUGUCAACUAUGGCUGCUCACGUCACGAAUAGCCCUAAUAUGGAUUUUGCAUUUUUUUUGCUAAGAAUUUGGAAUCUUCGCUGUCAAAAGAGGACUACUAAUCUUUUGUGAUGAUUGCAUGGUCUAUUUGGCACUCUAGGAACAUAGCGCUCUAUCAACAUCAGAUGAUGGAUCCACAAAAUAUUCUUUGUGGCUGAAGCUGUUUUGAAUUCGACACUGCUACUCAAGGCUCCCCAAUUCAAGAGCUAUCGGUCUGUCCAACCGAGACGGAUGUUGGUUGGAUUCCACCAGAGACUCAUUGGUACAAAAUGAACGUUGAUGCAAACACUGACAUCUCUAAUGGAAUUACAAGUUUGGGUGCAAUAAAAAGAAAUUCCAAGGGAGAUUUCAUGGCUGCCUCAGCUCGCAAGAAAUCUUUUCUUGGUGACGUUGAGAUUACAGAUGCUGAGGUUGUCCUACAAUGCAUCAAGCUGGCGACAGAUUCGGACUUCUCUCCCUUGAUUGUCGAAUCUGACUCGGCAAAUGUUGUUCUUGUUGCAAAAAUAGUAUAUCGAUAUGCUACUUCGAUGGCACAUUUUGAGUGGGUUCCACGUAGCGAAUGUGGAAAAUCUUGUGAGGUUUGGAUUCUACUCCAUGAAAACUUCGAAAGUGUAUAUUUAUGUACUUAAAAUGGUGCUUGGCUGAAUGACAAAUUGUCUCUCAAAGUGCACUCUUGAAGUUGAAAAUUUGAAAGGAAAUGAGUUUUAUCCCACAAGGGAAAAUAAGUCAAGGGAUUUGUGUUUAUAUAUACACUUACCCAUGCAUGAGUAAGAAUUAUAAGGAUAGAGGUUUUCUCCACACGCGCAUGCGCCGGGGGAGGGGGUGUUGUAAAUUCUAGACUUAUUUGGUUAAAUUUGUGUGCGUCCGUGCGUCCUGCGCACGCGAAUAUCAGUCCAAAAUCACCCAAACUUGCAUGUCAAACAAGUUUUUAGAAAUUGUAAUACGCCCAUUAAUUAGCGAAAUUGACACUCUCUGUUAUUAACGAUCUUUGUUUGGUUGGAAGACCCUCUCGCAGACAUUGUGGUACACAUGUAAACUUUGUAUUUGUCCAGCAAGGAAAUGUUUUAAAAAAAAUAAAAAUUGUCGACUAUCAAAGGAACCGAUUCACUCUUAAACUUACAGUACACAAUAUUACAUGCCAAAUUAUGACUAAUUAUGCCUAAUGCAUUAAUAUCCUUUCACAACGGUGAAAUCUGAAGGCCCAAAAAUAUUGUCACUUGUUCAAGCCAAAAUAUUGAGGCCAGAUAAGCACCCUAAGGUCAAUAAAUAAUUAACGAAAUCAUACUAGCUUUCUAAUAAAAUCUAUCGAAAGUAAUAUAAAUUGAAAAAUGAUGGAGCACUUUUUAACCCUAAAGGCCUAAACUCAAAUUCACACCUUUAAGAAUGAAUUAAAAUCUAAUUAAAAAAAAGAUUUUAUAAAAAAAGAUUAUAUAAGGAUGAGUUUAUUAGUUGUACAUGGGUGACUUUUUUGAUAAAUAUAGAAAAUAAAUAAUUAAAUAGAGAUAUUUUUGACAUUAGAAUUUUAGUCGGUUUAUGCAGAAUUUUUAAUUUAGUAAAACGUAAAAAAAGAGGCUUAUUUUAUUCCAUCAAAAUUAUCUAAAAACCUCAUUAAAUCAUAAAAAUAACCAUCUUUAAUUGACUUAAUUAAUUAAGUUGUCAUUUAAUUAGAAAAAGAUACACCCCUUAGUUUUUAAUUCAAUUCGUAAUUAAACAGGAUACGUCUCUGUCAUUUGUGCACAAUUAAUAACAAUGCUUAUCCAGAAUCCUUUUAAUCGGCCUUUAAAUUGAAUAAGAAGAUGUUUGGAAGAAUUUUUUUAUCUCUAUCAUAAAUUGUGAGCAAGAAGAGAGGGCAUAUAACAACUAAGAGAAAAUAAGUACAAAGCACGAAAACCAGCUCUGCACUUUUUUCUAGUUCUUUCAGAUUCUGCACUCCGUUUAUUCCCCUCCCAUGUCAUGAAGAGAUGGGUCUUUUUCUCUUCUUCUUUUUUUUUUUUUUCCUAAUAUAAUUUCUAAAAGAAUUUAUGAACAAACAGGUAUUUAUAUGCACAAUUAAUCACGAGUCGCACAAACCAGUGAUUCCUGGCCACGAUCGUGCGAUAUUACGACAUUGCUGAUUUUUUUUCUUUUCUUUUCGUUGUGAGUAAUUAACAUAUAGGGCCCACCAACCACUGCAUCCCGAGAUUGCGUGCCAAAAUCAUGUAAAUUGAUUUUGGAAGUUUCGGAGCUAAGUACGCGUAGCAUUAUUACUGGAGAACAUUCAGCCUUCAAUGCUACGAGAAUUCUCGGGUUGUUGCACAUUGAUUUUGGAAGGUUGGUGCGCAGAAUGCCAUAGAAAAAGCUCACGCAACUCAGGUAAUUAUUUUUCCACGUGGCAGCUACAUGGAAAAUGAACGGGCACAGACUCCUAAAGUGCCACUAAAAUACAGUCGUAAUAGAUUAUACAAGCAAACGAAAGUUUUAAGAAAAAUGAAGUAUCAUUUCCGCAGCCCCUGCACAGAUUAGGGGAACUGCAAAGACAUGCUUUGACAAGAACAAAUCUCGAUUUCAAUCAUUCAGAAUAUUGACAUGCUGCACAAGAAAUUGAAUUCAUAUAUUUUCUGACCAAUGGUGAGUUGCAUCCCAUGGAUGCACUCCAUCAGCAGAACUGUCAACACACCAUGAUAUUUGUAUCCAGAAGACAAACUUUCCUAAAAAACACAACAUCAUUUAGCGAGCCAUUAAUCAGUUGACUGCUGUUAUGACAGCACUUUAUGCACGUAAUCAGAAGUAGACAUAUUUCGUCAAGCAACUCCCAUACAUUGCAUACUACAUGUAAUCCAGUCAAAUGUUUCUACCUCAUUCACAAGGAACAGUUAGGGCGUAUGUACCAAGAGAAGAGCUUUACUUCAGUGCUUCACCACUUCAAACUUGAAGCGGAGGUUGGAAAUCAUAACCGGGCACUCUCCUUUCUCAUCGUACUCGGCAUAGUCCCCUCCUGACAAGUCAAUGUCUUCAUACUGAGUCCCAGCAAGCUACACAAACAACUUACAGUUAGUUCGACAAAGCAAAACCAGAACAAAUAGAAUUUCUUUUUUUGGGGUCAUAGAGAAUUUUUCCUCAUAUUAAUCUCAGAUUAACGAGAUUAAUUUGACUCAUCAUCAUCGCACAAAUAAAAGAUGGCUUUAGUAACAACAAAUGUCUAUGAGGAUAGAAGCAAAAUGUGCAACAAGAAAAAGCAUCAACAGUAAUUAGAAGAAGAUAUAUUGAUGAUGAAUCUUCUUAGCUGCGGCAAAACAUUAACCCAAAAAGUACCAAGUGCAUUUACAGCUGUCUGCAUGGGAAUGAGAUAGUUAGGAGCACAGUAGAAAAAGAGGAGAAACAUGUGUAAUGCAUUCGCCUGUUCUUAUCGAAUGAAUGCAAGUUACACUUCAUCCAGCUCAUCUUUAAUACAGUUAGUAAGCAAAUAGAAUCUUCAAACAAGGUUUCCAUUCCAAAGUCUGCCCACCCUUCGCCAUUCAAGUCAAGAGUAAGCCGAUAGGAGACUGAGAGAGCAAAAAUCUAUUGUCAUGCUCUCCACCUAAAUAGAGAGGCAGAAACCAUAAAGGCUAAACUAGAGCAAAUAAUCAAACAAUAUGCUAACACAUUAAAGAAAAAGCUGGAAAGAAUUUGUAAACUAAAGAGCUCAAUGUUGAAAAUAUUCACAACCGUGAAAUGCAUAAAAAAGGAUAAGAUGUAUCUUAAAUGAAGAUGGUCAUGCAUAAUCAUAAAUACGAACACUCAACUUGCGCUCUGAUAACACAAUGCAGUGCUCACAAGUCAUUUCCAUCCACCACUUGAAAUAUGUCUAAUGUUUAGUGUUCAAAAACUAUGGGGAAAGGGCAAGAAUAGAAACUUACAGAUUCAACUUUCCAUCCAACACCAAAGACGAAAUCCACAGGCUCAUAACCCCUGCAGUCGAAUAACAUCAAGGGGCUAAAACCCCCAGAUUGAGCAGCUUCCUGGGUCAGUGGUUUACCCCGGCCUGGGAUCAUAGUAACAGUUCCUUCUCUCCCACAAAAUUUGCACUGUGAAGAAAGAUAUGGAGCCAGAAAAUCACCAACAACCAGAACACAGUCAUUUUAUAAAUAGAGUGAAAAAGUUUCAUCUGUAAUAUGUCACAGCAACACUUGAAAAUACAGACAAUAUGUCACGGUCAUUUAUACUACAAGUCUCUAACAGAUUAAUCUACCCAAGAAACUUGAAAAUAUGCAAGAAAUCCAUAGUACCAGAUCCUCAUUCCCACACCUUCAAAGUAAUUACUCAAGCUCAACCAAAGAAACUUAAUAAUUCUUUUUCCAUUCUAAAUCCAAGGCAUCAAAAAGCAUAUAUAGGUCAUUGAACAGAAAAAAAAUACAAUUUAUACUAGAAGUCCCAAGAAAAACUAUAUCUUGAAAGCUUGUCGCAUGCAAGCAAUUUUUACAAGAUAUCAAAAGAGCUGAAGAAUUACAUUCAAAUCAUAAAAAGAAAAGCUCUGAAGUUCACAAAGAAUCAUGAGGAUACAUUAUAGAGUUAUGUUCUAUCAUGAUUCCAUGAACUCGUUCACAACAACAGUAACAGAAAGGCCUUGGUUUUAAGUCCAAGAAAUUGAUUUGUUACACUAUGCUACUGCUAAACAUCUCCAGUUUGACUACAAACAAUAAUAUACAUCUAAGCUCAAAUGGCACCAAUUUUAACUAGCUUGAUGAAUAUAUAUAUUCAAUUAGGGAUCUCUGGUUGUAUUAAAGUUGGGAAUAAGCUAACAGACAAAAAAAAAACAGACUCCAGUGCAGUGUAUUUUGUUCCGUAUUGUGUUGAAAUUUGUGUUUUCUGUCAUUUAACUUAUCCCUAACGUUAAUAUGAUCAGGGAUCCCUGAUAGAAAACUCUCUCUCUCUCUCUCUCUCUCUCUCUCUAUAUAUAUAUAUAUAUAUAUAUAGAUAUAUGUGUGUGUGUGCGCGCGCAAUAGUGAUGUACUGCAACCUAUUUUAAUCUCCACUGCAAGUGUAUAUUACUUGAAACAAUUUACAUUAGCAAUAUCUGGUACAAGUAUCAUGACUACAGACCAUCUAAUUGCAUCAUUUAUCUAAAGAUAAAUGAUUAAAUGAAAUAUGUAACUUCACUAAACUAAGCCUGAGGUACCAGUAUAACAGCUUUUCCUUCACAGUUUGAUCAUUUGGUUAGAGCAUAUAUCUAUUUAAAGUCCUCGCAAUAAGACAAACAAGAUCACUCACAUUUUAAUACAUACACAAAGAGAGGAAGAGAGAGAGGUAUUACUUUUUGAAUGAGAUUUGUGGUUCCCUUGCCUCCUUGAGUAGGAAGAGUUUCAGCCAAGCUCACACAAGUUUCUUUCUGGCUUAGUUCUCCGCAUCCACACUUCAACUACACCUCACAAAAAAUAAACAGAUAAACAUCUAAUUCAGAGAGCAUUGCAAGAUUAAAAUUCAAUUCCAACAUUAACUAACUAGAAUCAACAAAACAAACAUAUAAUAUAAUUUGAUAAGAGUGAUAUACAAUGUUACUGAAAAUCAACUUAUAUGAACAUCCAUAAGCAUAUAUAAAUCAGAUCUGAAAAUAAUAUGAUGAGUGACAGAGAUUGAACUGAAUAUAAUCAUUAUACAUAAAAACACAAACAUACAUAACAGGAGACAACAAAUUUGAACACUUAGAAAAAGAAUCAAAACAAAAAAUCCAAAGCAAAACAAGGUGAAGAGCAUUACUAGAGAUCAUAGUCACAAUAAUCAUCUGUAUUUGAAAAUCAAGUAAAAUGAGUAACCUAAAACCAGAAACCUAAAAAUAAGUACUCGCAUUCAUUUGGUGUACGAGAGAGAGCAAUGAAAACAGAAAAGAAAAAUCCAUACCGAAAUUCAUCCAUUAUGUGAAGCAAAGCGAGCAGUGCAAGAAGUAAAUACGAAGUAAAGAAGAAUCAAGAGCGGCGAAACGGAGGUAAUACUGAGGGAGAGAAAGAGAGGGGACCUUGAAGAAGUAAGAGAAGUUAGGAUCGUCGCAGCCGCCUUGAGGUUGGAGAUUGGUGAGGUUCUCGAGAUCGGCGCUGAUCAUCAGCAUGCAAUUCACCAUUUUCGCUUAGCUUUCCAGUGCCAAAAUAUUCUCUCUCUAUUUUUUCAGCGUGCUGGAUGGACGGAUGGGUUGAGACUUGAGAGAGACAAGGUAAGUGCUCGCCGCUUCGAUCGAGGGAAUUCUAUUAUACGCGCGUGGCUUGGCGAAUGUUGCCCGCCCACGGAGAUUACAUCGAUACGAUAAUUGUUUUGAACGACAUGUCGUAUUUUUCUUGGAUGGUAAACAGACAAGACGUUUAUACUUGGUGAAAAUGCUACAAUUUUGUAAUCGGGAUUUGUAUGACCAACUAGGGUCGCAUAAAGUCAGUAGAGUUUGGUAUACAUGUACAAAUAAUUUGUUACGUGCUUUGUAUCUAAGCUGGAGAUAGUAUUAUGAUUUUAAAAAAAUUUUCAAACGAAAAAUUUUAACGAAAUCUUUCAAUUUUUUAUUUCAUUGUAUUUAACUCUAUAUAUUUCUCUAUUCGUAGAGUACAUUGAAUGUACAAAAAUAGUUAUAACAUAAUUCUUAUUAUUUGUAUUAACAGUUACUCUAUAAACAAUGUUGUUGUGAAGCUGUUAGUUUAAUUAUGUUACUAGUAUGCUGACGUGGCGAGCUGAGCUGGAGUGUGGGCCUGCUGUUAGUUAGAAGCCGUUAUUAUUAACGGUUGAUUCCAAAAACAGAGGCAUGCAUAUAUAAGGGUUGGUUUGUGGCAUAGUUAGCGUGUGAUUUUAAGGGUGAUAGAGUGAGAGAUAAUAAAUUCUGUAAACUAAAGAUUUAAUCUCUGCACUCCAUAGAUUCUUUGUGUAAUCGUCUCCAUUAAUAAAGCUUAAGCCUUCUGCUGGUUUUUCAGCCGUUGAUGUAGGUACCUUGAUACUGAACCACGUAAACUCUUUCUCUGUGCUUGCUUCUUGGUUCUUGGUUCUUGUUGAAUCUUACUGUUGUUAUUUGUUUCUAAUUCUAGUUCUUGGUUGUUCUGAGUUGAUCCUAUUAUGUUAACUAGUUCAAGGUGGUUGCAUUUGUCGAUUAAGCAUUAACAAACUGGUAUCAGAGCUUGGUUCAUUGAGGCUGUUCUUGAUCAAAAUGACGACCACCAGAUUUGAUCUCGAAAGGUUUAAUGGUGAUAACGACUUCUACGUCUGGAGUCUUAAGAUGAGAGCAAUUCUCAUCCAGUAAGGGCUUGAUAGUGCUCUUGAUGAUGAAGAUGAAGAUCCAAAGGGCAAGAAAGAACAUGCAUAGGGCUCAUCAAUAUUAGGAGGAGAUCAGAAAACCAUUAAUAACAAGGCUCACAGCACCAUUAUCCUACAUCUCUCUAAUGAAGUGCUGAGAGAGGUUGCAAAAGAGAAGACUACAUCAGGAUUAUGGUCAAAGUUGGAAGACUUAUAUUUGAAGAAGUCAGUGGCCAAGAGAUUAUAUAUGAAGAGGAGACUGUACACCUUCUCCAUGAAAGAGGGAGUAGCUAUAAAUGAUCAUUUGGAUGAAUUCAAUAAGCUAAUCUUGGAUCUUGAAAAUGUAAACAUCGAUUUGGAAGAUGAAGAUAGGGCACUAAUUUUGCUAAGCUCCCUGCCUGAUUCAUUUGAGCAUUUUGUUGAUACUCUUUUAUAUGGAAGGCAGACUCUCAUGUUAAAGGAUGUUAAAAGUGCCUUGGAAUCAAAAGAUUUGAAGAAGAAAUCUAAUGGGAAAGAUCAAAGCUAUGGGGAAGGAUUAACAGUCAAGUCAAAGGCAAAUAAAAAAAACAGCAAAGAAAAGAAAAAUACCAACCAGAAAGAUAAAAUAGAGAAAAAGAAAAAUAAGAAGAAAUGUUAUUUUUGUCAAAAAGAAGGGCACUAUAUGAAGGAUUGUUUUGAGAAGAAAAAGCUUGAGAAGCUUCAAAAGGAAUCAAAUAGGAAGGUUGCCCUUGUGUCAGAGGAUGAAGGAGACUCAGAGGGUGCUGAUGUUCUAGUAACAGUAGAAAAGCAUCAAAUUGGUGAGUGGAUACUUGACUUUGGGUGCUCUUUCCAUAUGUGCCCAAAUAAGCAUUUCUUUAAGACAUUUAGAAGUAUUGAGGGUGGUAAAGUGUUGUUGGAAAUGACUUAGCUUGUAAAGUUGCUGGAAUUGGAACCAUUGAUAUAAGGGAAAUUAUCAAUCAUAUACCCUUAAAUGACAUCCAUAUCAAACGUGUGUGAACACUUUUCAAGUGUAUCACUCGUAUACCAUAAGUUGACAAAACACUUAUGUCGUCCACCAAUUUGUUAACUUCCGUUAGAAAGUUAACAGAAUUGUGACAAAUUGACUAUUUUGCCCUUGAAACUCAAAAUGAGGUAAAAAUAUAAAUUUACCCAAAAAAUUAACGUAAAUUUUCAAUACACAAUUUUUUUUUUAAUUUUUUUUAUUAACAAUACAUUUUUUUGAUUAAAAAAAUGAAUUAUUAAUGGUACAUAAUAUUAACAAUUAUCCAUAAAAAUAUCCAUAUUAUACCAUAAAAAAUUAUUAACAAUAUAUUAUUUACAAUUAUAUAUAUUAUACCAUAAAAUUUUUUAGUUGGAGCUUGGAAGAGUAGAUCUUCAAAAAUUUAGGUUAAAUUUUGGAGGAGUAGAUUCGGUUGUAAAGUAAUUUUUUUAGUAAUUAUUAAUAAUUAUCCGAUAAAUGGGAUGACAUGUCGUUUUUUUUAAUCAAAGUUUCAUCAAUUUUAAAAGACUAAAUUACCCUUAUGAUGUCAGCGCUUGCAAACGGAAGUUAACGGAUUGGUGGACGGCAUAAGUGUUUUGCCAACUUAGGGUAUACGAGUGAUACACUUGAAAAGUGUUCACAUACGUUUGAUACGAGUGUCAUUUAAAGGUAUAUGGUUGAUAAUUUCCAUUGAUAUAAAAAUAUUUGAUGGUGAAAUUAGAAACUUAGAUCAAGUAAGAUAUGUACCAAAACUUAAAAGAAACCUUAUAUCACUAGGCAUGUUUGAUCAAAUUGGCUGUAGUAUUAGAGCUGAAAAUGGUGAGAUUCAUGUGAUGAAAAAUGGUACUACCAUCAUGAAAUGAGUUAGAAAGAAUGGCUUUUAUGCUCUAGUAGGGUCUUGUCUCUUACCUGGAAUUACAACCACUAUGAGUAAUGAUAAAACCAAGCUGUGGCACAUAAGGCUAGCACACAUAAGUGAGAGAGGGUUAAAAGAAUUAGAGAAACAAGGUUUGUUUGGUGAAGACCACAUAUCCUCAUUAGAAUUAUGUGAAAAAUGUGUUUUUGGUAAAGCUACAAUGCAAAAAUUCAAUACAGGAAGAAAAGAAAUAAAACAGACCUUGGACUACAUUCAUUCAUACCUAUAGGGACCAUCACAUGUUCCCUCUCAUGGUGGAGCUAGGUACUUCAUAACCUUCAUUAAUGACUACUUAAGGAAUGUUUGGAUUUAUAUGUCAAAAUAGAAGAGUGAGGCUCUGAAGAAGUUCAAAGAAUGGUUAACACUUGUAGAAAAUCAGACUGGUAAGAAGAUAAAAAGGCUAAGAACAGACAAUGGACUGGAGUACUGCAGCAAUGAAUUUGAUGAAUUUUGUAAGAGCAAGGGCAUAGCAAGGCACAGAACAGUAAGGCACACCCCACAGCAGAAUGACCUUGCCGAAAGGAUGAAUAAAACCUUACUUGAGAAAGUAAGGUGUAUGAUGUUCAAUACAAACCUAUCUAAGCAUUUCUAGGCUGAGGCAGUUACAACAGCAGCUUAUCUAGUGAAUAAAAACCCUUCAUCAGCCUUAAACUUCAGAACUCCACAAGAAGCUUGGUCAGGAAAACCACUAGAUCUUACUAACCUCAAAAUCUUUGGCUGCAAUGCAUAUGCUCAUGUUAGUUAGGGCAAAUUAGAGCCAAGAGCAUUGAAAUGAUACUUUAUAGGAUAUCCAAAAGGCACCAAAGGGCAUAAGAUCUGGUGCAUACAUGACAAGCCCUCAAGAACUCUAAUCAAUAGGGAUGUGGUGUUUGAUGAAGACUCAAUGCUGCUGUCUAAAGUAGAAAAUGAGGUAAUGUCUACUGGUUCAUAUAGAAAACAAGAUGCUGAGUUGAAGGUGGAGCAUGUUGAUUGCUAUCAACCUGCAGAAAUGACUCUAGAGAAAUCUGACAAGGAGCUCAAAUCCUAUGAGCUUAACAAUUAUCAGCUUGCAAGGGAUAAAGAGAGGAGAACAAUAAAAAUGCCUAAGAAAUAUGGCAUUGCUGACCUUAUCUCAUAUGCACGGAGUGUUACUGAAGAACUAAGUGGUGAAGAACCUAUGAGCUAUAAGGAAGCCAUGUGUAGAAGAGAUAAAGCUAAAUGGCUUGCUGCAAUGAAAGAAGAAUUAGCCUCUCUUAAGAAAAACAACACCUGGAUCUUGGUAGAAAAACCCUUCAAUAAAAGACUAGUAGGCUAUAAAUGGAUUUAUAAGCUCAAGGAUGGAGAGUCUGCUGAUAAACAACCCAGGUACAAGGCAAGACUGGUAGCUAAAGGCUUCACACAGAAAGAAGGAGUAGAUUUUAAUGAAGUGUUCUCACCAGUGGUAAAAAACAGCUCCAUAAGGUUGUUGCUUGCUGUUACUACUUUUCUUGACCUGGAGUUAGACCAAAUGGAUGUAAGAACUGCCUUUUUACAUGGUAACCUUGAUGAAGAAAUCUUUGUGACACAACCUGAGGGUUUCAUAGAAGAAGGGACUGAAGAUAUGAUGUGUUUACUUAAGAAAAGUUUAUAUGGCUUAAAGCAGUCUCUAAGGCAGUGGUAUUUGAGAUUUGAUUAGUUUAUGAGCAGCCGUGGUUACAGCAGAAGUCAGUAUGACACUUGUGUGUACUACAGAAGCUUGACUCAUGACAGCUACAUCUACUUACUUCUCUAUGUGGAUGACAUGCUCAUUGGAUGCAACCAGAGGGAAGCCAUAGAGGAACUCAAAAUGCAGCUCAGCACUGAGUUUGAAAUGAAAGAUUUAGGUGCUGCAACGAAAAUUCUGGGUAUGCAGAUUGUAAGAGACAGACCAGCAAGAACUUUGUUCUUUACUCAGGCUGGUUAUGUAAGGAGAGUGCUCAAUAGGUUCAUCGUGGACAGUGCUAAACCUGUGUUGACACAUCUGUCAACUCAUUUUAAGCUCUCUAAGCUCUAUGAGCCAACAACUGAUGUAGACAUAGAAUAUAUAAAGAAUAUUCUCUAUUCAAAUGCAGUGGGGAGUGUUAUGUAUGCUAUAGUCUGUUCCAGGCAGGGGUGUCAAAAACCCCGCCCGGACCGGAUCUGACCUGAACCCGGCCAAUCCGGUCUGGGAAAAAUCCGGACCGCAUAUACUGAAAAAGUGGAUCCGGGUUUCAGAAUUUAAAACCCGGACAUUUCCGGACAUGGUCCGGGUUCAGCACUAAAAACCCAAAACCCGAACCCGGACCCGUUUUCCGAAUAAACUUAAAAAAAAAAACUAAAACUAGUUACCCAAACCCAAAUCGCAAAACACCUAAAUCCGAAAUCCCUAAUUCCCCAAAUCGCAAAACACCCAAACCCAAAGGCAUAAGCAGCGAUGCUACCACCGUCACCGUUGGCUAGCACCCACCGUCAGUCCGUCACCGUCGCCCCUCGGCAGUCGGCAGUCGGUAGUCGGCAUCAUCUCUUCUCGUUUGGCAUUUACUGACUCGGUUUUGCUCGAUUUUGCUCGGUUGUGGCUGUGACGGGAGUUGUUCGUGCAGCGGCAGCAGCGCAGUGCAGCCCCCUCCGGCGCCGUCAGCGUCAGCGUCUGCGCCACCGUCUCCAACUCUCCAUUGCCACUUUGUCAUCCACCAUCAGUCCAUCACUCUGCCAUCACAGCCACCACUACCAGCCGCAGGUAUUGAUUUUUUUCCUUCCAUAUUUUGUCUUCCUAGUUGCAUUUUUGCCAAUUGCUUCUCCAUUGGUGUUGGUUGUUGCUAUUCGUGUUUAUCUUCGGCCAAUUUUGUGCAUUUUGACCGUAGAAUAUGAGGAAAAUAUGGCCAAUUUUGUGAGGGAUCCUUAUUGCCUGCUCGUAUAAUGACAAUGUUGAUAAGCAGAGAAAAUAAUAAUCACGGGAAAAGCAAUUUUGUGCAUGGUUGCUGACUUAUAGUGUGAGCCUGUGAUUACUGUAACUGUUGCUCUUUUUUUUCGGCCAAAUCCUUUUGCCUAUUUUAAUUUUAUGUUGCUGAUUUACUGUGAGCCUAUUAGUUAUGUAAUCUGUGAGCCUGUUAGUUAUGUAAUGAUAAGUUUAUUCGUGUUUAUCUUCGACCAAUUUUGUGCAUGGUUGCCGACUUGCUGUGAGCCUGUGAUUACUGUAACUGUUGCUCUUUAAAUCAAUUCUUCGAGUGCUCCAGAUUUAUCUCGUAAUGUUGAAGAUAAAAUUGAUAAUGAGGUUGAGGAAAUUUCAGUGUCAACCGUGAAUGAUAAGAAAAGUAAGGAAGAAACUAGAAAAAAGAAGAAAGUCUCCGAAGCUUGGGAGCACUUUACAAAAAUAAUGGUAAAUGGAGAACAAAAGGCAAAGUGCAUGCAUUGUAGUGCAAUUUUAAAAGCAAAAUACCAAUCUGGGACUUCAACUUUGAAUAGGCACGUGGCAAUGUGUUUUAAGUAGAAUCAACCAGACAUAGAAGAAGCACUUCAAGGAAGCCUUAAAGUGAUUAAAAGAGAGGAUGGAACUUGUGGCAUUAGUUAUGGCAGUUUUGAUCAAAAUGUUUUACGGAGUUUGAUAGCAAGAAUGGUUAUAAUGCAUGAGCUUCCACUUACAUUCGUAGAAUAUAUAGGCUUCCGAGAAAUGAUGACACACAUAUAGGCUUCCGAGAAAUGAUGGCACAUGCUAACCCCGUGGUUAAGCCAAUGAGCAGAAACACUUUGAAGAGCGAAAUCUUGAAGUUAUAUCAAAUCGAGAAGGUUAAGACUUUGCAUUUAUUGGGGAAAAAUCAUGGUAGAGUAGCCAUUACUACAAAUUUAUGGACAGCUAGUAAUCAGAAAAAUGGAUAUAUGGUCGUGACGGCCCAUUUCAUAAUGACAAUGUUGAUAAGCAGAGAAAAUAAUAAUCACGGGAAAAGCAAUUUUGUGCAUGGUUGCUGACUUAUAGUGUGAGCCUGUGAUUACUGUAACUGUUGCUCUUUUUUUUCGGCCAAAUCCUUUUGCCUAUUUUAAUUUUAUGUUGCUGAUUUACUGUGAGCCUAUUAGUUAUGUAAUCUGUGAGCCUGUUAGUUAUGUAAUGAUAAGUUUAUUCGUGUUUAUCUUCGACCAAUUUUGUGCAUGGUUGCCGACUUGCUGUGAGCCUGUGAUUACUGUAACUGUUGCUCUUUUUUUUUGGCCAAAUCUUUUUGUCUUUUUUAAUUUUAUGUUGCUGACUUGCUGUGAGCCUGUUAGUUUUAUGUCUCUGUCUCUCUUUUCUGUUCACUUUUUCGUUUCCACACUAAAAUCUGAAAUUUAGUAUAUCUUUGCUAUUGUAACAGCAGAGUAGUGCAAUGUCGGACAAUGUGAAAAUCAAUUCUUCGAGUGCUCCAGAUUUAUCUCGUAAUGUCGAAGAUAAAACUGAUAAUGAGGUUGAGGAAAUUUCAGUGUCAACCGUGAAUGAUAAGAAAAGUAAGGAAGAAACUAGAAAAAAGAAGAAAGUCUCCGAAGUUUUGGAGCACUUUGCAAAAAUAAUGGUAAAUGGAGAACAAAAGGCAAAGUGCAUGCAUUGUAGUGCAAUUUUAAAAGCAAAAUACCAAUAUGGGACUUCAACUUUGAAUAGACACGUGGCAAUGUGUUUUGCAGAAUUAACCAAACAUAGAAGAAGCACUUCAGGGAAGCCUUAAAGUGAUUAAAAGAGAGGAUGAAACUUGUGGCAUUAGUUAUGACAGUUUUGAUCAAAAUGUUUUACGGAGUUUGAUAGCAAGAAUGGUUAUAAUGCAUGAGCUUCCACUUACAUUCGUAGAAUAUAUAGGCUUCCGAGAAAUGAUGACACACGCUAACCCUGUGGUUAAGCCAAUGAGCAGAAACACUUUGAAGAGCGAAAUCUUGAAGUUAUAUCAAAUCGAGAAGGUUAAGACUUUGCAUUUAUUGGGGAAAAAUCAUGGUAGAGUAGCCAUUACUACAAAUUUAUGGACAGCUAGUAAUCAGAAAAAUGGAUAUAUGGUCGUGACGGCCCAUUUCAUUGACAAUUCCUGGAAAUUGCAUAGUCGAAUCUUAAGGUAAUUUGUCUAUAAUUUUUUAUUUGCUUAAUUUUUCUUUUUAGUUUAUUAUUACUUAUAUUAGAUUUUUUUUUCAAGUUUAAAUUGUAAUAUAUUUUAAGUUUGUGUAUUUAAUACCGACUUUUGAAUAUUUGAUAGGUUCGUCUAUGUUCCAAGCCCCCAUACUGCUGAUGCCCUUUGUAAUGAGUUAGUACAAUGCCUAUUGGAUUGGAACGUGGAUAGAAAGUUAUCCUCAGUGACAUUGGAUAAUUGUACCACUAAUGACGCAAUGGUGGAGAAAUUAUUGUUAAUGUUUGAUACCGAUACCUUAAUUUCUAGUGGUAAAUUUUUUCAUAUGAGAUGUACUGCUCAUAUAUUGAACUUGGUUGUGCGGGAUGGGUUGAAAGUUAUAGAAAGUGAGAGUGGAAAGAUUAGAGAGAGUGUGAGUUAUUGGACACAAACACAAAAGAUAUGAAACUUUUGAGUUAGCUGCUAGACAAUUACAAAUUAAUUGUAAAAAAAAAUUGAAAUUGGAUUGUCCUACUCGUUGAAACUCUACUUAUGCCAUGCUUGAAGUAGCAUUGAUGUAUAAAAGUAUUUUUUCUCGGUUGCAACAACGUGAGCCUCAGUAUAAGAGCUUGCCAAGUGAUGAGGAGUGAGAUUUGACAGUCAUAAUGGUGGAGCAUUUGAAAUCAUUUUGCAUAUUAAUGGAGAUGUUUUCGGGUAAAAAAUAACCAACUGCUAAUUUGUUUUUUCCGUUGAUAUGUAAAAUGAAAUUGUCAAUUAAUAGGUGGCGCACUGCUGAUAACCUUGCUAUUAGGAUUAUGGCUGAUAAAAUGGCUGAUAAAUUUGACAAAUAUUGGAAUGAAAUUCAUCCGAUGUUAGUUGUGGCUGUUGUGCUUGACCCAAGAUAUAAGAUGAUGUUAAUUCAUUUUUAUUUUCCAAAGAUAUAUGGUGAUACAGCAGAUGAGCUUAUUGAGUGUGCACAUAAGCUUUGUUAUGAUUUAGUGAAAGAAUAUGAAUCGAAGGCAGUGCAUGUGAGUGAUGGGCAGAAUGUUGGAUUGGAAAUUUCUCAUUCUGAAUCUUGUUCGAAUUCGAAUAAGUAUUGGGAUGUAGAUGAGUUUGAAACAUUUUGAAGCCAAAAUAAACGUGCUAAGGUAACUAAGUCGGAGUUGGAUAGGUAUUUAGAUGAGGAAUUGUUGGAUUCUAUUCCGGACUUUGAUAUUUUAGCUUUUUGGAAGAUGCACACAAGCCAAUAUCCUAUUUUGGCUGAGUUAGCUAAGGAUAUCUUAGCCAUUCCUGUAUCCAUCGUUGCCUCUGAGUAAGCUUUUAGUGCUAGGGGCAGAUUUUUUAGUCUGCAUUGUAGUAAACUUCUUCCUGACACUUUGGAAGCCUUAAUGUGUGCUCAAAAUUGGAUUUGGGCUUCUACUUUUGGAGGUAUAAAGUUAUUUGAAUUAUAUUUUAGUAGUAUUUAUUUGCUUAAAAUGCUUUGAAUUUUAAUGUGUUAUUUUUGUUGUAAGGUGGAGUUUUGGAGGAUGAGAUUUUUACUGGGGAGGAGGUAAUUUCGGAUGAUGAUGAUGAGCCACAAGCGUCGAUGAGUAGCAUGACAUGAACUUUUAUUUAUUUAUUUGGAAUUAGACAUGAACUUGUUAUUUAUUUAUUUUACAUGGGGGUGUUUUGACUCUUUUAUGAACUAUUGUUUGAGUUGUUGAACAUUUUAGGAUUUUCAUGUGUUGUAUUGAUAAUUGGUGUCAUAAUUAUGAACUUAUGAUAUGUUGGAUGUUAUUUAGAUUUAUUGUGUUAUUGAAUUUAAUUUUUUUUAUAUAUAUAGAUUGAAUGAGUUUAGGUUAGAAGUUAGAUGAAUUUUUAUUUAUUAUUUGUGCAAAAAUUGUAUUGUUAGUAUGUUAUAAGUUUGUAUUUAACUAUUUCUCUAAUUUCUCUUUGACUUAAGUUUGAGAUUUAUCUUGUAUUAUGAUACACAAGAAAUGUGCAUGCAUGUUGUAUUGUUGUUUCACUUGUUUGGUGAUAUUUAGGUGUCAUACAAAGACAUAAAAAUGAAAGAAAUUUUUUUUGAAAUAAUUGUUUGCGGGCUUAGAAGCCCGGAAGACAAAACCCGGACCCGGGACACGUCGGGCUCAAGCCCGGACCGGACAUGCAAAAGCCGGGUUUUGUCCGGGUCCGGGUUUCAAUUUUUGGCGUCCGGUUCGGUCCCGGGUUGCACCAAACCCGGACCGGACCUGGGGUUUUGCCAAGCCUAGUUCCAGGCCUGAUAUAGCAUAUGGUGUUGGAGUUGUCAGCAGGUUCAUGGGAAAUCCAGGCAAAGAGCACUGGAAUGGAGUCAAGUGGAUAUUGAGAUAUCUUAAGGGGACUUCUGAUCAUGGAAUUUUGUUUGGGAAAGUCAAUGGAGCCACCUGUGAGGUUGCUGGUUUUGUAGACUUAGACUUUGCAGGUGAUCUAGAUAAAAGAAUAUCCAUAACUGGUUUUGUUUUUACCAUGUGUGGAGGUGCUAUUAGCUGGAAAGCUUCACUGCAGUCAGUUAUUGCUCUCUCAACAACUGAAGCAGAAUACAUUGCUCUAACUGAGGCAGUAAAGAAGGCAAUCUGGCUGAAGGGUUUAGUUUCUGAGUUGGGUUUCAAGCAAGAGACAGUCACAAUUAGCUGUGAUAGCUCUAGUGCUAUACAGUUAAGUAAGAAUCCCAAGUAUCAUGAGAGAACUAAGCAUAUAGACGUGAUGUUACACUUUAUAAGGGAGGAAAUCAGUAGUGGUGUGGUGAGUGUUGUCAAAAUACCUUCUAAGGUUAAUCCAGCUGACAUGCUUACUAAGCCACUACCAACAAUUAAGUUCACGAGUUCUUUGAACUCGAUUGGACUUGGUAACAUGUGAACUAAGUCUCAAAUGCUGAAACAGAGGUGGAGGAAAGCUUGAAGUCAGAAUAAACUAAGGUGGAGAUUUGUGAAGCUGUUAGUUUAAUUCUGUUACUAGUAUGCUGACGUGGCGAGCUGAGCUGGAGUGUGGGCCUGCUGUUAGUUAGAAGUCGUUAUUAUUAACGGCUGAUUCCAAAAACAGAGGCAUGCAUAUAUAAGGGCUGGUUUGUGGCAAAGUUAGCGUGUGAUUUUAAGGGUGAUAGAGUGAGAGAUAGUAAAUUCUGUAAACUAGAGAUUUAAUCUCUGCACUCCAUAGAUUCUUUGUGUAAUCGUAUCCAUUAAUAAAGCUUAAGCCUUCUGCUGGUUUUUCAGCCGUGGUUGUAGGUACCUUGGUACUAAACCACGUAAACUCUUUCUCUGUGCUCUUCUUCUCUUUGCUUGCUUCUUGGUUCUUGUUGAAUCUUGCUGUUGUUAUUUGUUUCUAAUUCUAGUUCUUGGUUGUUCUGAGUUGAUCCUAUUACGUUAACUGGUUCAAUGUGGUUGCAUUUGUCGAUUAAGCAUUAACAGUUGUUUUGCGGUGCUAAUGACUUAACACUAUUUUUAUAGUUUCAGAAUGUUUCUUUUAAGGCAUAUUGGUUGUUAUUCGCUCUAUAGUCUAUAGAGACAUGUUUUAUAUUUGAUAGGUGAACGACAUCUACCCCGGAGGCGAAUUUGAAGACCGUGCAAGUACGUCUUCUUCGCAAGUCUAGCUAAUUAUUUCGCAUGCAGUUUUCAGUGUUAUGGGCUGUUCUUCGAAAACCCAAAACCAUGCCUAGCAGAUUGCUUGAUGAAACGGUGCCGUUUAACACUUUCAAUAAUUUAAACAUGGAUGUUGAGCCACACACACACACGUAUAUGAAAUGUCUGUUUAUUCUCUUUCUCCUAGCUAGCCGAUGACAAUGAACUCACAAAACAAAUUAAACUUGCAUGCGCACAGUAUGCAAAUUAAGAAGGCGCCAUCUGCAGAAGCCACUUGAAAUGGCACAUGCUGCAUCUCAAAUAUUGAAGAUGCGUCAUGCAUGUAAACUUAAAGCGAAUGAGAGUAGAAAGGUGAAUCAUGCAAAUUUGGUGUCUUCAAAAUUGCGCUCCAACUAAUAUUAACAGCAAAGAAUUUUCCAUGUCACUUCUGUUUGAUUACCAAAAGUAUAUAUGUGCUGCCUUUUAAGGAGUUCUUGUAUAUUCAAUAAUCAUUGUUGUGUAAAAAGAAAAUUAUUCUAACUUCUACUUAAUUGCAUUUAUAUGUUGUGAAUUUAAAAUAAUUGGUGAAAAGGUUCUGUGAUCCCAUGGAGUAUAUACUGGGAUGCAAAGGGUUCAUAAUUCUACUAGGAGUAACUUUUGUAAUAAGUUAUGAGUUUGCAAAGGGUGAGAUAAUCUCCGGACAAAAGAGUUCCUAUAUUGGAAGGAAAGUAAAUCAUCUCAACAGCAACGGCAAUGUAGUGAAAAGCAUUCAGGUAUGUAUAUAUAAAUAUAACUUCUUUGACCUAUAUUUUUAAGUUAUGUAUCAUUGAAACUUCUUGGUCCUUAUAGAGUGAAGAUGGAGAUAUUAUCGAUUGCGUCUGCAUUUACAAGCAGCCAGCAUUUGAUCAUCCUGCUUUAAAGGAUCAUAUUAUCCAGGUACAAGUACAACACUUCUAGUAUUUUCUUUUAAAUAAAAAAAUUCAAUAAUGUUACCACUAUGUAUUUGAUUCAGAUGACACCCACUUAUGAUCCAAAUGGGAAGACAGUGACAACAGGAUCAGCUGAUACAGAAACAUCCACGACUGUUAUGGCAUCACAAAUAUGGAGAAAAAAUGGAAGCUGUCCUGAAGGAACAAUACCAGUGAGAAGAAUUCACAACUCGAAUUCCUUUGAAGGUUAUGGCAGGAAGCAGCCAAGCUUCUAUCAUCGUGUUAAGCAGCUUAAUGAUAUUAAGCAACCAAACCUUCAGCAACCAAAUCAUUCAGUAAGAUUCAAUCAUACAUGAUGGAGUGAUAAAACUAUACUUAAUUUUUGCAAAUAUGUCUUUAUCUGACUUGGCUUUGUGUAAAAAUAUUAGAAAGCAAUACUGCUUACAGUAGGGUACAUGUUUUCUGGAGCAAAAGGAGACAUCAAAGUCUGGAACCCUUUUGUUGAAUCAGAUGAUGAGUAUAGUACUUCUCGUGUUAGUCUGCAAAGUGGCCCUUACUAUGACUUUGAGAGCAUCGAGUCUGGAUGGGCGGUUAGUACUAAUUUAAUUAUGAAGCCACUCAAUUGUCUUCAAGUUCAUUAUCAUUCAUUAAAGAAUCUCUUAAUCCCCACAAUUCUUUCUUUCUUUUAUUUUAUUUUAUUUUAUUAAUUUAUUAAUUUUUGCCUAAAUUUUCAGGUAAAUCCAAGAGUGUAUGGGGACAGAAAAACUCGAUUAUUUGUAUAUUGGACUGUAGGUUUAUGCCAACCAUGACUUAAAAAUGUUGUAAUGCAUAUUGCUGUAUCAAUAAACAAUGUUUUGUUCAUGUAUUAGGCCGACGCAUCAAAGACAACAGGGUGCUUUGAUGUCACUUGCCCCGGUUUUGUUCAAGUCAGCAACGAGAUUGCGCUUGGUGCAGCAAUUUAUCCCAUUUCAAAUCCUAAUGGGCUUCCAUAUCAGAUCACUAUAUACCUCUUUAAGGUCGGAGAAAAUGCAGCUUUAUUUUGAUUUAAUUAAUAGUUUGCAGGGGAAGCAAUAAUGGAUUUUCACAUUUUUCUGAUGGAAGGUUCUUUUACUUGCAACUUCCUAUUGGUUCAUCUCUUAUCUUUUCUGAUUUCAGGAUCCGGACACAGGCAACUGGUGGAUGCAAUAUGGAGAAAAAAUCAAUGUAGGUUACUGGCCCCCUAAGUUGUUUAGUUUGUUACCCAGUGGUGCAGAAAGUGCCGAAUGGGGAGGCGAGGUCUAUAGCUCGAAGUUGGAGAAUCCUCCUCACACAGCAACAGCAAUGGGAAAUGGGCAUUUUCCUGAUUAUAUUUCCGGUAAUUCAGGCAGUGUCAAGAGAAUUAGAAUUCUUGACAAUUCUCGUACAUUGAAGUUUCCCGAAUGGGUGUAUAGUUACACAGACCAGUACAACUGUUAUGGUGUCGAUUAUGUUGGAGACUACAUUGUAGAUCCUGAGUUCUACUUUGGAGGACCUGGAAGAAAUCACUUGUGCCCUUAAACUCUUGUAACAGAUUCUAGCUACAAACGGAUGCUUGCUGAUUUGCCACCACUUUCUUGGGUGGCAAGCUAAUAUUUUAGAUGCUUCUUAAUUUUGAUUAUUUGCUACUUCUUGCAAAACACGACCGGUCAUAUUUGAAGAUUUGAUAAUUCAGCUACUCAGUGGUCCGCAAGAAUAAAUUCUGCGAAUAAUCUCUUUUGGAUGCUGCACCAUAAAACACAAUUAGCCAGUAAACAUCAGAAUAAGUGGAGCAAAGUAUAAAUGGAAAUACAAAUGUCAGCUUAAUGUGGAGUUUUGACGCUUCCUUUGUUGUUUUUGCCUAUUUCUUGCAGUUUUAUCCAGAGCUUUCCUUUUUCCCUUUUUUUUUUUUUUUCCUUCUACCAAAUAUAACUUUCUGAAUCUGUAUAUUGGUCAGAAUUAGGGAACUUACAACUGAAAUAAUAACACCGCAAAUUAGACACCAUAUGUGGACUCUCCUAGUAAGACAACUUAUUUCCAUUUUGAGAAAAACUUCUGCUGGUGUCUUUGGUUUAGAAUAUUGCUUAUAAAUCAUUUGGCUGAUAAGCAAGGAGUCUAAAUUGAAAUGGAAACAAUAUCAUAGCUUUCCAAAUCAACCUGAAGCAUGGUUAAUACACCCCAAUGCAUUAUGAUAUUAUAUAAUUGUUAUGUUGAAGAUGAAACUGUCAUUGGCUUCAUACUUGCUUCUGAAACAAAAAUGGAGAAUGCCAAAACCAUUUCUGUGCUUUUGCUGGUAACGUUUGUAUCUGUUUUGGGAAAUGGAGUCGAUAGUAAACUUAAAGCUGGACAAACUAUUUCUGAAAUUGAUAGGAGACUGAAGCUUCUCAAUAAGCCUGCAGUAAAAAGUAUUAAGGUAUGUCACAUGCUACUAGUCUAGUACCCCUGGACAAUUUUCGUCACUUAUUAUGUUGGCACUCUAAUGUAAGAGAUUGUUCCCGUAGAGUGAAGAUGGAGAUAUUAUAGAUUGUGUUGACAUCUACAAACAAUCUGCAUUUGAUCAUCAAGCAUUGAAGAACCAUAAAAUUCAGGUGCAUUUAUUAUUAUUCUUACCCCUUCUAUGAUUUGGAGAACAUUUGUUUUCUGAAAAAUGAAGCCUUAAGUGGACUGUCUUCAUUCAUGUAAUAAGCAGCUGAAACCUAGUGUUGAUCUACUGUCGGAGGAAUUGGAUAGAAGGAACGAGUCUCCGCGGCCUGUAAUGAUGCAAACUUGGCAAAAGAGUGGAAGUUGCCCAAAUGGAACUGUUCCCAUUCGCAGAAUCCAGAGGGAAGACUUAUUGAGAGCAGCUUCUCUUGAAAAUUUUGGAAGAAAAGCCCCGGAAAUUCCCUCUUCAGCAAACAAAACAAAUGUUAAAGAAACUCAGUUUAUGUCUUUCAACGAUAGCAAACCAUUAGGAUUUCCUCCCAUAGUUAACCGUUCUGUAAGCCCUCUUUAAGCAGCUGCCAUGUUUUUUUGCCCUUUUUUCAUUUCCUGAACAUAUUUUUUUGUUGCUUAACUCCUAAUUUCUUGAUACACUUCCUGAACCAGGCUGCAUUACUUGUUACAGUCGGAUACAAUUAUAUAGGAGCUCAGGGAGAUAUAAACGUUUGGAACCCAAAAGUUGACUUACCAGAUGAUUAUACUACGGCUCAAAUCUGGCUUAAGGGUGGCCCUGGUGACAAUUUUGAAAGCAUAGAGGGAGGAUGGGUGGUUAGUGCAUUUACCAAAAACAAACAAAAAAUGCCAACAGUUCUAUAUCUUUAUGCUUUGCUCCUAAUCUUAUUAUAAACUGUUUUCCAGGUAAAUCCCAAGUUAUAUGGUGAUAAACUCACGCGUCUAUUUGUGUAUUGGACAGUAAGUACACCAAUUAUCUGCGCAAAAAAAAAAAAAAAAAAAAAAANNNNNNNNNNNNNNNNNNNNNNNNNNNNNNNNNNNNNNNNNNNNNAAAAAAAAAAAAAAAAAAAAAAACUCAUCCCAUAAGUGGAUGACGGUACUUAACUACUUGUUCCAUGCAUGUUCAUCUUAUAUUUGUUUCCAGAGGGAUGGCUACAAAUCGACAGGUUGCUUUGACGCCAUUUGCUCUGGGUUUGUGCAAACAGGACAAAUAGCCCUUGGCGCAACCAUUAGCCCCAUCUCCAGUUCUGGAGGAUCCCAAUAUUAUGUGACUGUUGGCAUAUCCCUGGUAAUAUUUUAAAUUACAUUUUUCUUCCUUUUUGGAUGCUACUAUGUAUGUAAACUCCAUGUCUGUUGAUUUUCAGGAUCCUAACUCAGGAAAUUGGUGGUUAAAACUUAAUGGUAACGUUGUUGUUGGCUACUGGCCUGGAAGUCUCUUUGGUUACCUAAGUCACAGUGCUACAAUAGUGGAGUGGGGAGGACAAGUUUAUAGCCCAAAUGUGAAGAAAACUCCUCAUACAAAAACUGCCAUGGGCAGUGGAGAAUUUUCACAUAGUCUUCAAGGUUCUGCUUGUUCAAUAGAGCACGUUCGAAUUAUAGACUAUUCUCUUCAGCUCAAGUACCCUCAAUGGGUGGGCACUUGGGCUGAUGAAUAUUAUUGCUACGAUGCAUAUAAUUUUGUUGAAGGAUACACAACUGAACCAGUGUUCUUCUUUGGAGGGCCUGGCCAAAAUCCUAAUUGUAAGUGAGAAUCAUGAUUUAAAGCAAAAGCGUUACGUACUCAUUUCAAUGUAACAAAGUAAUUUUCACAGCUCCCCAACUGUAGCUAUACAUCAAAGUAUCCACUCAUUUCAUAUUGUUGCUGUGAAGUUUAAUGGAGCUGAUGUGCCAAAAUCGGAUCCAUUAUGGUAGAGUUUACAUUUUAGAUUGGAGUGGGAAUUCUGAAGAGUGAGAAUCUUGAAAUUAAAAGCGUGGAAUGAGAGUGAGAGUAUGUUAUUUACUUACACUUGAGUGGGAGUAUGAAAUUGUCUUGGAUUGGUAGUAAAUAAUUUAAAUUACAGUUUUACCUUUAUUUAAAGAAUUAUAAUUUUUAAUUACAAAAUUAAUAAAAAUAUAUUUGAAAAAUAAAAUAUUUAUUUUAUUAUAUUUAUAAAUUAAUAAUAAUUAUUAAUAUUCUUAAUUAUGUAAAUCAUAAUCUUUUAUUAAUUUUAAUUUGAAUUAUGUAAAUACAAAAUUUUUAAUAAUAACACAAAUGAAACAUUAUUAUUGAUAAUCUNNNNNNNNNNNNNNNNNNNNNNNNNNNNNNNNNNNNNNNNNNNNNNNNNNNNNNNNNNNNNNNNNNNNNNNNNNNNNNNNNNNNNNNNNNNNNNNNNNNNNNNNNNNNNNNNNNNNNNNNNNNNNNNNNNNNNNNNNNNNNNNNNNNNNNNNNNNNNNNNNNNNNNNNNNNNNNNNNNNNNNNNNNNNNNNNNNNNAGCAGUAUUUUAUUUUAUUAAAUCUAAUAAAAUAAGUAUGUUUAUUAUUAUUUUUAAUAAAUGUAAUUUAUAAUAUAAUAUAAUAAUAUUAUUUAAAUAAAUAUGAUGUUAUUUAUUUUAUUUUAUUAAGAGAAAUUAUUAGUCAUAUACAUAUAUUAUUAUUUUUAAUAAAUAUAAUUUAUAAAAUAAUAUAAUAAUAUCAUUUAAAUAAAUAUUGUUAACUUCCGUUAGAAAGUUAACAGAAUUGUGACAAAUUGACUAUUUUGCCCUUGAAACUCAAAAUGAGGUAAAAAUAUAAAUUUACCCAAAAAAUUAACGUAAAUUUUCAAUACACAAUUUUUUUUUAUUUUUUUUAUUAACAAUACAUUUUUUUGAUUAAAAAAAAGAAUUAUUAAUGGUACAUAAUAUUAACAAUUAUCCAUAAAAAAAUAUCCAUAUUAUACCAUAAAAAAUUAUUAACAAUAUAUUAUUUACAAUUAUACAUAUUAUACCAUAAAAAUUUUUAGUUGGAGCUUGGAGGAGUAGAUCUUCAAAAAUUUAGGUUAAAUUUCAGAGAAGUAGAUUCGGUUGUAAAGUAGUUUUUUUUAGUAAUUAUUAACAAUUAUCCGAUAAAUGGGAUGACAUGUCAUUUUUAUCAAUAUAUAUGAUAUGACAUGUCAUUUUUUACUAGGUAAAUAGGAUGACAUGUCGUUUUUUUAAUCAAAGUUUCGUCAAUCUUAAAAGACUAAAUUACCCUUAUGAUGUCAGCGCUUGCAAACGGAAGUUAACGGAUUGGUGGACGGCAGAAAUUUUUUGUCAACUUAGGGUAUACGAGUGAUACACUUGAAAAGUGUUCACACACGUUUGAUACGAGUGUCAUUUAAAUGUAUAUGAUUGAUAAUUUUCCUUUUAUUAAAUAUUAUUUAUUUUAUUUUAAAUAUAAGGAUAAAAAGGGAAGAGGGGGGAGUGGAUUCAAUCCACUCUCUCCUUAAAAAUUGUAAGUAAAUAUUAGAGUUGGAGGAAUCCAAACUUCUCACUCUCACUCCAGAAAAUAAACACUACAUAUAAGCAGUGCAAUCUAAUAUAUUUUAAAGUAACUAUCAAUUGUCAAUUUGAAGGGUGAAAAAAAUGAAUGGAAAAUACUUCUUUUUUUUAUGUUUGCUUUCGGAGAUUUGCAGAUGCAACAGAGGGGAAUCAAUUGAGAAAGCAAUUCUUUAAUUGUAAGUCAAAAACUUUGUUCUUUUGCCUAUUUUUGUAGGUGUGUUCGUACUCACAACUCAAACGUUAACAAUGAACUAAUAACAGAUAUCUCAACAAGUUUAUCACAAAUUAGUUGUCAUGAGAUGUGGCAUUAAUUGAGUGAUUAUGAUUUUGCACUAUUUUUAAUCCGCCAUUUUACCCUCCACUUGAAGAAAUGAAACCCACGUGAGUUUAGGAUAAACUUUUAGGAUAACUAGCAUUCUUAAACAUUAAUAACACAAUAUAUAUUAAGGAAAUAACUUUUAAGACCUCCGAGGGAAUUAUCCCUGAAUAAGGCAAUUUUGUAUUCCAUUUUUAGAAAAAGAAUAAAUCAGUUGGAUUUGGGUUUGUUUGGAUAAAAUAACUUGAUUGGAACUUUGCAAGAACCCACCUGCAAUGGAAACAAAAAUUUGACUUUUCAAAUGAACUUGAAGCAGGGUUAAUGAGCAAUAAAUAUUACAUAAUUGCACUUUGGAAAAUGACACUUUUGCUUUACAGUGUUUGUGUCAUCAGGAAAUUUCGAUUUUCCAAUCACUCUUGAUGCUUUUGUUUCUGCCGCCAAAGCUGCUUUUGUAACAGAGCAAAAAUGGAGAAAACAGUUUAUUUGUUUUUGUUGUUUGGGGCUAUAUCUACCCUGUGUAAUGGAGUAGAAGUGAACGCUAAAGCUAGAAAAACUCUUCCUGAAAUUGACAGGAAGUUGAAGCUUCUCAACAGGCCUGCAGUAAAAAGCAUUAAGGUAUAAGUGAGUAAUGGUAUUUUACAUCCUUAAUAUUUAUUAAAAAAAAAAAAAUUCACUCUUGUUUUGGGUGGUUGGUAAUGGUAUUUUACAUCCUUAAUAUUUAUUUUACAUCCUUAAUAUUUAUUAAAAAAAAAAAAAUUCACUCUUGUUUUGGGUGGUUGGUACUCACUCCCUUAACUUUUGAGUUUUGCUACCAACCACUCUUGUUACUAACCAUUAACCCAGGAGUGGUUUCUGCUGUAAAUAUUUUAAUACUUAAAAAAAUAAUACUGGCUUGUCAAAAAAUUAAUAGAGCAUCAGCAGUUGUUUUUCCUUUUAAGACGCUGAAAAACUAGCAUUUAUGGUAGAGUUUAUCUUUCAUAGAGUGCACAUAAUGGGAUGUUUCCUUCUGUAGAGUGAAGAUGGAGAUAUUAUUGAUUGUGUUGAUAUAUACAAACAACCUGCACUUGAUCAUCCUGCAUUGAAGAACCACACAAUUCAGGUGCAUUUUAUCAUUUCUCUCUUCUUUUCCUGAGCUACUUAUGAAAGAUCAUGGUUAGAAACUUGCACUGACUACAAUUCUGUUAGAUUUUUACUAGUCUUGCUUCAUACAAUAUGCAGCUGAGCCCCAGUUUUGAUAUACCAGCCGAGAAAGUGGAUAGAAGAAAUGAGUCUUCUAGGCUGCCGGUAACAAUUCAAACUUGGCAAAAGAGUGGAAGUUGUCCAAACGGAACUGUUCCAAUUCGAAGAAUUCGAAGGCAAGAUUUAUUGAGAGCAUCUUCUCUUCAGCAAUUUGGGAGAAAAGUCCCUGAAGUAUCCUAUGCAGCUAAUAGAACAGAUGCUACACACAGCAAAUUUGAGUCUAUAAACAACAAAACGAUCCACCUUGGUCCUCUAGUUGACCGUUCAGUGAGCAGCUGUAGCUUUUUCAUGCCCUUAAUAAAUUCUUGUUGUUUCAAAUUCUCCUAAUUUUCUUGAUGGUACUAAGUACCAGGCUGCACCCCUUCUUACAACACAAUACAAUUGCAUAAAAGCUACUUCUAAUAUUCUCGGUUACAAUUCCUGAACCAGGCUGCAGUACUUGUUACAGUCGGAUUCAAUUACAUAGGAGCUCAAGGAGAUAUAAACGUUUGGAAUCCGAGAGUUGAAUCGCCAGAUGAUUAUACUACUGCUCAAAUUUGGCUCAAAGGUGGGCCUGGUGACAAUUUUGAAAGCGUAGAGGGAGGAUGGGUGGUUAGUACAUUUACCAAUAAUGUAAAUAAAAAUGCUAACAGUUCUACAUAUUUAUGCUUUCUUCCUAAUCUAAUUAUAAUUUUUUUUUUCAGGUAAAUCCAAAGUUAUAUGGUGAUAAACUGACGCGAUUAUUUGUAUAUUGGACUGUAAGUGUAUCAAUUUUCAUUAAAAACUCUCACCCCAGAAGUGAAUUGUGGUUCUUACUUACUGGUUCCAAACAUGUUCAUCUCAGAAGGAUAGCUACAAAUCGACAGGAUGCUUCGAUGCCAUUUGCUCUGGGUUUGUGCAAACAGGACAAGUAGCCCUUGGAGCAGCCAUUGGUCCUUGGUCGAUUUCUGAAGGACCCCAGUAUUAUUUGCCGGUCGGCAUAUACUUGGUAUGAUGGUAAUAAUUUUUUUUUCUUUCUUUUCCUUUAAUGCACCUAAAAAUGUAAAACUCCAUUUUUUUUUUCUUUUUCAAUUUCAGGAUCCUAACACAAAAAAUUGGUGGCUAAAAGUUAAUGGUAACAUUGUUGUCGGCUAUUGGCCUGGAAGUCUCUUCAGUUACCUAUCGUACAGUGCAAUAUUAGUGGAAUGGGGAGGACAAGUUUAUAGCCCAAAUGUGAAGAAAACUCCUCAUACAAAAACUGCCAUGGGGAGCGGAUCAUUUUCACAUGGUCUUCAGGGUUCUGCUUGUUCAAUCGAGCACGUUCGAAUUAUAGACUUUUCUCUUCAGCUCAAGUACCCUCAAUGGGUAGGCACUUGGGCUGACGAAUAUUACUGCUAUGAUGCUUACAAUUAUGUUAAAGGCUAUACUACUGAACCAGUGUUCUUCUUCGGAGGGCCUGGUCAAAAUCCUAUUUGUAAGUGAGAAUUAUGAAUUAAAGCAACAAGCAUAAUGAAAUCAGUGUAAUAUAACAUAGUGAUUUUCACAGCUCCUUAUCUGUUACUGUACAUCCAAUUGGUGAAAAACAUCAACGUAUCCGCUCCCUUCAUGAUGUUGCUGUGAAGAUUAAUGGAGCUGAUAUGCCCAAAACGGAUCCAUCAUAAGCUGUGAAAUCCAAAGUAUUUUUAACUAGUAAUCAGUUGGCAAUCCGAAGGUGCAAAGUAUGAAUGGAAUUGCUUAAGUAUGUUAGCUUUAGAGAUUUACAGAUACAACAGAUGGGAAUGAACUGAAAGAUAGCUAUUCUUUACAGAUAAUAUGUUAGCUAUGGAGAUUUACAGGUACCUGACUGAUAAUGUACACGGGGCAUAAGAUUGCUAAGGUGAAAACUAACAUGAGGAGAGGAUCCUAUCCGCUAUAGGUGUAUUCGCACUAACAAUUCUCUUAUCACAACAUAUAUUAAGGAGUAAGUUUUAAGAUCUGUCUGGGAAUUCUUCCUGAAUAGACAAAUUUGUCUUCCAUUUUUAGAAAAAGAAAAAGAAAAUCCACUGCUUUUGUUUGGAUUAGGCUACCUUAUUAAAUAACUUGCCUGGAACUUUGCUAGAACCAACUUGAAAUGGAAACAGAAUUAAAAGAUUAAUCGACUUUCCAAUAACUUGAAGCAGGGUGUUUGAACACCAAUGAUUAUUUAAUUGCACCUUGAAGAUGAUAAUUUAGCUUUACAAUAUCUUCGUCAUCUGGGAUUUUCCUACAAGUCCUGUUGGCUUUUGUGAGAAAGCACAUAUGGAGAAAACAGUCUGUUUGCUUUUGUUUAUAGUGGCUGCAUCUAGUUUGAGUAACGGAGUAAAAGUGAAUGCUAAAGCUAGAGAAACCCUUUCUGAAAUUGACAAGAAGUUGAAGCUUAUCAACAAGCCAGCAGUAAAAAGUAUCAAGGUAUGGCAUACAAUAAAUAUUUAGAUCUUAUCAAGUUCUAAACUUGGGAGGCCAAUGUUGUAUCAAUGAGUCCAAAAGUGAUUAAGGGUGGUUUUUCUUCUUAAACUUGUAGUAUUUAAAAAUCCCACUGGCUUGUCAAAUGUUUAAUAGAGCGUUGCUGGGCAGUUUUUGUUAUUAAGAUAGUGAAAGAAUAGCAUAUACGGUAGCCAUUUUCUUCCAUAAAGUGAUGAGUUCUUUAAUAACAUAAUGUGAUGGUUCCUCCUGUAGAGUGAAGAUGGAGAUAUUAUCGACUGUGUUGAUAUCUACAAACAGCCUGCGUUUGAUUAUCCAGCAUUGAAGAACCACACGAUUCAGGUACAUCGAUCAAUUCAUUUUUCAAUUUCCGAGCCACUGGUGAAAAGAACCAAAGGUAGAAAGUUCCCUUUCUAUCAAAAAUACAAAGAAUUUUGCACUUGCAAGAACUUUGGUUAUUUUCUCACUUGUCUUUGCUUCAUGUUAUAUACAGCUGAGGCCCAGUUUUAAUAUACCAUCUGGGAAAUUGGAUAGAAGAAAUGAGUCUUUUAGACCAGUAGCAGUCCAAACUUGGCAAAAGAGUGGAAGUUGUCCGAAUGGAACUGUUCCAAUUCGAAGAAUUCGAAGACAAGACUUAUUGACAGCAGCUUCUCUUGAGCAGUUUGGGAGAAAAUUCCCAGAAAUUUCCUAUGCAGCCAACAAAACAGAUGCUAAACACAGCAAAUUUGUGUCUCUAAACAGCAAGACAGUCAAUCUUGAUCGUCUGGUUAACCGUUCAGUGAGCAGCUAGAGCUUUUUCACGCCCGUAAUUAAUUUCCAUUGUUUAACUUCUCUUAAUUUUCUUGACGGCACUUCAUGUACCAGGCUGCAGUCCUGCUUACAGUAGGAUACAAUUACAUAGGAGCUCAAGCAAAUAUAAAUGUCUGGUGUCCAAACGUUGAAUCAACAGAAGAUUAUACCACUGCUCAAAUCUGGCUUAAGGGUGGGCCUGGUGACAAUUUUGAAAGUGUGGAGUCAGGAUGGAUGGUCUGUACAACUACCCAAAGCAUGCUUCACAAAACAGUCAAUGCUAACAAUUUAGCAUCUUUAUAUUUUUCUCUAACUUUACUAUAAUCUCUAUAUUCAGAUAAAUCCCAAGUUAUAUGGUGAUAAACUCCCACGAUUUUUUGCAUACUGGACUGUAAGUAUAUUUUCUACUAAAGCUUCUCUAAACUACUUUGGAUUGCAAGUACAGUAGCUAAUUUGUUCCAUGUCUAUCUCAAUUUUUUUAGAGGGAUGCUUACAAAUCAACCGGUUGCUUCGACCUGACCUGCACUGGUUUUGUGCAAACAGGCACUCAGAUUGCCCUUGGUGCAUCCAUUAGUCCUUGGUCUAGUACUGCCGGACCCCAGUAUUACAUUCCCAUUGCCAUGUCCAGGGUAACAAUUUAUAUCUGCUUUUUCUUGGUUAAGUUGAUUGUUUGAAGUUAUAAAUCAGCAGUAAAUAUUUAAUGAAGUCCAUUUUUAUUGAUUCCAGGACCCUCAAACAGGAAAUUGGUGGUUAAUGUAUGGCGAUGCUGUUAUUGGGUACUGGCCUGGAGCUCUCUUUGAUUACCUGAAGCAAAGUGCAAUCUUUGUUGAAUGGGGAGGGCAAGUCUACAGUCCAAAUGUGAAGAAAACUCCACACACCAAGACUGCUAUGGGCAGCGGAUCAUUUGCAAGUUCGCUCUACGGAUCAGCGUGUUACAUUGACCAUAUUAGAAUCAUUGAUUAUUCUCUCCAGCUCAAGUACCCGCAAUGGGUAGGCACUUGGGCUGAUGAAGAAGAUUGCUAUGAUGCAUAUAAUUUAAUUCAAGGAUAUACUGUUGAACCUGUAUUCUUCUUUGGAGGGCCUGGUCAAAAUCCUCACUGUAUGUAAUGUGAGGAUAAGAAUGAAAAUGAAACGAAAUAUUGCAGUGCAAUCUUGCUAAUCGCGGAAGUUAAUUAUUUGCAAGAAAGUUGUGAUCUGUUUUCUUCCUUGUAUCAAUGAGAACAUCUAAAGUCAUGUUGAAUGGAUUGAUUUUGUGGGAAGAAAAGGAAGUUCUGCCAUAUGAAGAGAAGAAUAAAAAUGGUGCUUUCUCAAUGACCCCUGCUGUAUUUCCAUAUAUAAAAAUAAUCCCCACUUAGAGGAAUCUGAAUAGUCAAAGUAAAUCAAUAAGGUUUCGUUAGCAAUAGGUGAGUGAUUUGAAUUUGCAAUGGCUGCCACUAUUUCAAUCCACUGUUGCUUGCAUUUGACUCUAGUUAUCACCGGUCUCAUGUUGAUUCAUGGAUUUGCUAAAGAGAAAACUGCAAUGAUAAAAAACAAAGAGAAGCUUAUCAAGCAUAAACAUGCUUUUAAGUUUUAAAACCAUUUCAGGUUGUGAUUACCAUAACUUUUUUCUCAAUUCAUUUGGUAGGAUGAUUUCAUAGGGAUGUAUUUGCUUCUCGAAAAUGGGGUUAGUGUCGACUGCAUUGACAUCUACAAACAACCGGCUUUUAAUCAUCCUCUUCUCAAGAAUCACAAGAUACAGGUUUCUUGGUUUUAUAAGUACUUGGUGCAAAUUUAUAAGCACAUAUGGUAAACCCCUUCGAAAUUGCUAUUAUUUCAAGUGACUAGUACUCGGUAAAUGCUCUUGUUUCUGAUUUUCCUUAGAGUAAUUAACAGAUGAAGCCUACUUCACACCCAGAACAAAAGAAAUCUAUGGCCUCCAAAAAUUCCCACACACAGCUUAUUCAACUCAAGGCAGUCGACUGUCCAGAAGGAACAGUCACCAUUUUAAGAACUCGCCAGAUGGUAAUCUUAUGGACACUCGAUCAAGCAGAAGUGCCACCUAUGGAUUCGGCUUUAACAGCAAUGAAUAUGAGGUUAAAUAUAACAUGUAACAAUGAAUAAUGCCGCCUAUAAUACUUUUCACAUUCUGCUAAUCAUUUUCGUUGAUGCAGACUUAAAUAUUGCUGAUGCUGGAUGGAUAUGCAUUCAUGGCUUCAACGUAUACAUUUUACGCAUAUGGAACCUUUGAUACAUGCUCUUCCAAACUGGAUAUGAUUAAAUAUGUAGAAUGUUGAUUUUAAACAAAGAGAACAGAACACAGAGAAAUUGGGGCUGUUAAUUGCAUGUCAUUCAUUGUUGCAGUAUCUGAAUUUAUUCAAAGAAAAGAAACAAACAAAGCCAAAAAAUCUGCCUACAUAUCUUUAACAUAUAUCUGAUAUCAUAAAUUCAAAAACAAAUUGUUCCUACAAUCUUGCAGGAUAUUAUUGACAGCAUAAUCAUAUCUUUGCUGUUUUUAUUUUUGCUCAAAUCCUGCAGCAAAUAUAGCAUUGUCAUCAUAGAAAUAUUGAACCAGAACUUGGAGCAUAUUUCGUCGCUCUUAUUAUUUUGAUCAUAGUCUAAUUGACUGUUUAUGGGUAUAUUUUUUUCGCGUUUUUAGGUGAAUCCAACACUAUAUGGAAACAACCUUUCACGGCUAGUUGCAUUUUUGACAGUGAGCUUUAAUUAUCAUAGAUUCUCUUAAUCAUAUAAAUUGUCAAUGUUUUUGCUUAACAUGCAUGUUAAUUUUCCAUAUUGUAUGUCAAAUUCAGAAAGAUAAAUUCAGCAAAACAGGUUACCAUGAUCUCAAAUGCUUUGGUUUCGUUCAAGUGUCCAGUACACAGUAUCUUGGCUGUGUACUAGAGCCUGUUUCUGAAGAUGGUGAUUACAACCACCAAUAUGAAGUUUUUAUUGCGAUUUACAAGGUAAUUUACUCAUGCUUUACGCCAUAAAAUUGCAUGCUCAAAAAAAUUAGCAAGUGUUUCAGGAUAUAGGCUCGAGAAGUUCGUGGUUAAGAUAUAAGGUGUAAGCAUCGGAUACCGCCCAACUACAAUUUUCACAAAACUGGCAGACAGAGCCAACAGGGUGGUCUGGGGGUGUAGAGUCUACACAUUCCAGCAAAAAUGGGCACACAUUAAAAACAAGGCGGUCUGGAUGCCAUGCUUUUUUUUAUUUGAGUCUACAAGGAGGAGAAAAAAACGACCGGGGCAGUUUCUUUUAUUAUGGUAGUUUUGCAGCUUGGUAUGAAUGCCAAUAACAUAUAUAAAAAUAUUUGGUAAUUAAUGUGACAUGCUUACGCCUGCAGUUAAAUAAAUUUGUCAAGAAAUUCCAAUAGCACAGCAUAGUAAAGGCUCAGUUCAUGAUAAGUGUUUGUAUUGCUACAGAUGUGACAAGCCUACAACAUACGAGGGAAGUCAGUUUUGUGGACUUGGCUAUGUUGCAACUGUAGUACCGUGCCACAAUUGCAACUCAUUAGAUCCACUUGGAUCCACUGUUGCAACCCUCAUCCAAGUGGAUCCAAUGGCUGGUUGCAACUGUGGCACGGUACUACAGUUGCAACAUAGCCGGACCCCAGUUUUGUCAGUGGAAAAACUGUCGUCCCCUUCCCUUAUGGAGAGAUCUAUCCCUCUGCCUAGGAAUAAUCUUAAACACAAAAAUAUUUUCAUACUAUACAGACUUCCUGUAUCCUUCUAGAGAUACCUACAUAUGAAUAAGAAUUAUAAUCACAAUCCAUAAGAGAAAAUACAACAUAUCACACCAAAAAAGGAGAGCAGGGAAGGACCAAGCAACACUCCGAAAGAGAAUCGCAGAAUUUAACCAGCCAGAUUUUAUUUGAUGUAAAAAAGCUAAAUUGAGUCAUACUGUUUCCUCUCUUCUUGUAUAGACUGGAAAAUUCGAGCCACAGAUUCAGUAGCUGAUCUAGGAUUGUGAGGCACAACUUUGAUCACUUUUGUUGGCUGGUCUGCAUCAUGAGGCUGAGGGGCCGCCUCCUGAACAACUGGAGACACGGUAGAAACUUGAAGUGCAUCUGUACCUUCAGCAGCAUGACCCAUCCCAUCACCUCGCACUCUCUCACCUGGACUACUUGCCGUACUUCCUUGUAACUCUGUGUCUUUAGAUGCCUGAAACUGCCUUACUGGUGGAACAGCUCCAUUCUUCUGGGCUGGUACAUUACAGGAGCUCUCUUGUGGCAUGUAAAAAUUAGCAUCUCCUUGAGAGAAUUGAUCACGCGAACCUGGCACAGCAAACUGAUUCUUUUGUUCAGCAGCUGAACCUGAGACCGAUGGGUUCAUAACUGGCAUGCCAUAAGGUGGGAAGUAACCAUGACCAACUAGAUGAGCACCAGGCAUAACCCCAUUUCCUUGAAGAGGAAUAGGUGAUGUAAUCCCAUAGUCUGGAUGCAUAAAAUUACCUGUCAGAGGUGCUGGGCCAAAAGGUGAACAUCCUCCCCCGCAAACUGUUCCCAUAAAUCCAGGUCCAGGAUAUGGCUUGUAUAUAAGCCCCUCCGAAGGGGACAUAACAGGAAUCAACCACUGCUGCCCAGGCGAUUGAUGAAAACACCAAUGAGCCAUUCUGGAAUUGGUGGCUUCCAUUGGUGGAGGUUGGUUUGCACAGUAAGGCCCAUAAUUUGAAGGCUGACUACCAUUUUUCACAGAAGAAAGAGACGUCUUCCCUACAGCAUUUUCCGCAGAGGAUUCUAUCUUAUGGUUAGGCUUCUCAGAAUCAACUUUGCGCUUAACACUGUGUGGCAGUGGUUUUACAACAUACUCCAAUGGAAGUUUUUUAGCAGGAGAGGCCUUCAAAGAUGGUUUGCCAAGACAGGCGCUCUCUUCAAGCAAAACGUCUGGUGAUUCAGCAAUCAGUUGUUGGACCUGUUUGAAUACACAGAUUAAUUUAAUUUCCUUACAGCAGGAAAAAAAUAAAGGCAAGAGAGUCUGCAGCCCUUGCCAGGAGAAGUAUAAGCUACUUCACAGAGUUAAGACAUCCUUACCUUGAUUAGUCUAUGCAACUCAAAUACUUGAACUGCAAACACUCUUUGCUGACUGUAUACAGUAACAGGAGUUGCAUCAAGAACCAAAUUCCAUAGAAAUCAUUAAAGGAGUUUAACAAACACAGCACAGAGAUAGGACUAACAAGAAUCCAAUGGACAUCCACAUGCGAUCAGAUAUCAUAUACCAUAAUUAUGAAGGCUGUAGCAUGCAGAACAAAACAACUUGCAUACAUACAAAUGCAAGAUGUUAUUUGGGUUGGCUUUAAAAUUACAAUAUCCAACAAAAAAUUUCACCAAGUACAAACUUUUUAGACCAUAACCACACUUUUUAUCCAACGCCCAUUGUAGAUACAGCUAGCCUCACGCACCUACAAGUGUCAAAGAAGCCUAAAAUCUCUCCCUAGCUCUCUAAUUACAAUCAUACUCUAGCAAUCCUAGUGCACUCCAAUAAAGUCAGAGACAAAAAAAAAAAAAGGAGAAUAUGGUCAAAGACUACGAUACACACAAUUGUAACAAGUUCCUAAACAAGAAUCACUUGGCAAAAUUUCAGUAAUAAAUACCACCAGCAGAAGACCGGAAUUUUUCAUUUCAAAACUUGUACAUUUUCUCCCUUGGGAAAAGCGAGUGAAGUGGAGAACUCUAUUAAUAACUACAAAGAUGUACAAAUAACUAGAAGCAGUACUAGACAUCACCUUGAUUUUACAAUAGAAAGGAAUAAGAAGGAAUAAGAAAAUACAUGCAAGAUAAUGAUUCAGAAUGGAGAUACGUACAUUUUGCAUCUACUUGAAGAGAUGAAGCAUAAAUUUUCUGUUCGAAAUAAUGAAAACGUGUAUAACACAUACAAACUGUACACGCCUAACAUAUAUCAUAAACACAUUGCACAAAAGACUGCGAAUCACAACCCCACAAUAUCUUCCAACAUAAAAAUACUAAGACAUCAAAUGAAACAUCCCAUUCGCCUCCAAGUACUGUAAAAAAUUAUCCCGUUUCUCAGAGAUCCACCCAACAUAAGCUUCAGGGAUCAUCCUCCAGCGAUAUUUCCUUUCCUGCUCCAAGCCCCCAAGUGCUGUGGAUAGAUAAACUCCCAGGAUCACAGGGAAAAGAAAGCAACACCACACCGAGACAGGAAGAUAUGCGAAAAGCAGAUGCAAGACAACAAACAAAAGUGAAAUGAUCCACUGUCUCAGGGCCUCCUUGCAUACCUCGAUUAGGAUUGUCCAUUUCCCUGCUGUAAGAUGAUCCAUUGUUAAAACAUUAUUGAGGGCCUUUGAACAAAAAAGGGGUCACUUACGAGGAAUCCCGGAACUCCACACCAUAAACCUUCCCUCCCUCAAAGUCACAAGUACAACUCUUAAUUCACAAGUGUAGCUUUAUACUGUGAAAAUACUACAAUGAGCAUCUCUUCUCCAAUAAAGAAAUUCUCAUAUUCUGAAAUUUACACCAUAUUAGACAAACUAAGAAACUGUCAAAGUUUCUAAAAGAAAAAUCUAUUACAAUCAUCCUGAAGUCAAUAGUAGGCCCAGCCCCAGACCACAAGCAAACUCAUGCCAGUGGAUCUCAAAAAGAAAAUUGAGAAGAGGCUGCCACUGCAAAUUACUUGCGUCCAUAAAAAGAACAACGAGUCUAGCAUGAAAACAAAAACUCUAAAAGUACUGAAAAAAUUAAGGAAAUGAAUUGUGGGUCCAUCCCAUUUCGACUUGUCACAGCCAAAUAAGAUAAUACACGUCCCAUAAAACCUCACUACUCCACCCCUUAGUUUCCUAUGGCAUACCAGCAUCCUUACAUUUGCAUAAAAUACAGAUAUAAUAUCAUCUAACAGAUAUGGUAUAUCCACUGCUUAUACAACAUACAAUGGUGCAUUAGGACGAUUUCAAGUCCCAAAUUCAGAGCCAUGAAGAAGAAAACAGGAUAAGAAGCUAUUAAUAAGCACCAGAUACUUACUUGACAAUUGCUCUUCUUGCUUUCCAGAAAUGUUUAUGACCUAUUAUUCCAACAACAUCAUCAGGAGACAUAUCCACGCCUGACAUAGAAUCCACCAUGGAGGUUUCAGAGACAUCGUCACUUUUAUCUCCACUUCCCAACUGCAGUGACCCACAAGUCUUGUCUACAUGGUAUCUGCUGUCAUUAUGAAGCCCACUUCGAUGGCCACAGUCUUCUGUUGAAUGAGUGUCACCUCUAGGCUGGAGAACAACUUCCUUCUGAAAAUCCCCAGUGGAGUCAACAUCAUCAUAACGACAACAGCCAUUUGGUGGCAAGCCAGCUCCAGACUCCAGUCGUAAAGAAGCAUCACUAUCAUUUAUUCUGCUAAAAUCAGAUCCUGAGAUUUCUCUAUAUUCUUGAUUAGGAGAUGCACUUACUUCCUUCACAAUCCCAUCAAUCUUUUCUCUAAUUGAUAAAUUCACAGAAGAUUUUGCAGGAAAGUUUCCAAUUGAGAUGCAAAUCUUUGGGUUCUCUUGACAAGCGUGUCCUCCCUGUUGUCUCAAACUGAUACUAGAGGAGCUACUGCGUUUUGGAUUCUUAUCGCAAGCAUUUUGGAAUUUUGUAGACUUACGGGUAUUAGACGGGUUAAAGGGAGAGAGGUUUCCCUUAUCAACAUCACUUUGAGAUUUACCAUGACAUUGUCCCAUCCCUGCCUGAUCGAAUAUAGGAACUGCAAAAUCAUCCUCCUCACUUACUUUCUUACUCUGCUCAUGAUGUUGCAAAUGAGUGUUCAAAGUGGCUCCAGCAGGCUGGUCAGAAUGACACUUCUCAUCCAAAUGAGUGGGUGUUGAAGGAUGUACAGAAUGUGCGAAAAGCAAAUUUCUUUCAAGGCCAUUCCCCUGCAAAUACAACAAUCAUUUAUAUAACUGCAAUGAAGCUGGUCCCUCAUAGAUACUCAUACAUAGAAAGCACACAAUCAUACACACAGACAUAAUUUACUCACAUUAAUCAGAAGUAUCAUAUGUGUAUCACCAAUUAACAUAGGUAAAAAUGAAGUUUUCCUCACAUGUAAACAAAAACAAGUGCACAAACAGUCAGAAGGCCACUGGCCACCCACCAAUAAGACAAAAAUCAGAAAUGACUAGCUGCAACGAAUGAAUCUUUCAAUUCCCCUGGGAGUACAUAAGAAUUUCACUAACACUUGAAAAGCCAACAUCAAAGUCAAACACUUGAUGACCGUAUUAAGAUCUACUUAAACAAGAAGCUUCCAUCACAAUAGGAAAAAACAAAAUAAUUAGUUUUUUUCAUCAUAAUUCAACUGAGCCAAUACAACAAUACAUAAUAGUACCCUUUAGAUUAUCAACAUUGGCAAUACUUUAUCAACAAAAGACCUAGAAGAUCACUCGUGAACUUUUCACCUAUCUCUAACAAAUCAGUUACAGAAGUUGUUGAAGGUACCUGGCUUGAAGAAACUGGAGGAACCAAACUGCUACUGUUUGAUGGAUUCAGAGGCAAAACACCGGUACUAAACCUCUGAGUAGGGAUACUGAGCUGUUCAUAAAGGGCCAUCUUGUUCCUAGGCGGUGCUCUUGGUCCUCCUUUCUCAGUAUCAUUAACAUGUAAUCUAGGGAACAUUGGUCCCAUGAUCUUUUCAUCAUCUUUUCCUCUCUUCAUUUUUUUUUCAACCUAUCUAUUCUAAACAGAACUCAAAAACUAACCCAAAAUGAAACAACUUGCUUCACAUCAAAUUCACUAACAAAUCCCAUGAAAGUCACCUAGGAAUCUAAAACCCACCAGUAGAAACUCACAAUUCAACAUACCCAGAAAUCAAAAUCAGUUCUUUGUAAAUAUCAAGACUCAAAUCUUUAAACAACACAGAAUCUACUCAAGCCUCCAAAACAAAAACUUACCAUAAAAAAAAAUCAAAAUUUCACAAACCCAGAUAACCAAAUCGGCUCUUUCACUAAAAAUCUCUACCAACUUACAAAGCUCAACAUACACACAAUUCAGUCAAAAGUUGGAGCUUAGUAGCUGAAUCGAUGUGGAAAAUGAAAAAAAAAAGGUGAAUUCUUUUAGGAUAUUUGCAAAAUUGUGAAAGCAUAUACAAGAUUGUUAAAAAAGAGAGGGAAUCGAACAAAUUCGAUAAGAAGAAAGAAGGGAUUGGGCUUAUGCUCAUAUAGGGAUUCCUGAGAAGUACAGCGACUUUUAGGAAAAGGGAAAGUGAAAAGUGCUGGAUCCGGGCCCACUUCGGAUAGGCCUAGAAGGCCUAGCACAUUGAUUUUUAUAUUAAAAACCAUGAUCUGGAUUUGUUGCCAGCUUGCUAUUUUAAUUUUAUUUAAUUUAGAUGUUUACGUUAGUUAUUAUUACCCAGUGAAUUGGCUCUUUCGCUGCAAAUUUCUUUAAAUCCCAAAUGAUUCUAUCCAUUUCAUUAAAAAUAUAGUUAAUUACUCAAUGAGCACUUGGCGUUAACAUCAAUAUUUGUUAAUUAUGUGAUAUCAGUAAUUUUAUUAGCAUUUUUAAUAUUUACUAACAAAAAAGACUUCAACCUUAUCCUCAUAAAAUUAUUUUGUUACUUAUUUCAUUAGGAAUUAUUGAUGUUUUAAUACAUUACAUUCAUGUAUUUAUAAUUCAUGUGACGGUAUUAAUACUCUUAAAAGAAGUUCUCUUUUACUCGUAGCUCGCGUUUAAUAAUAAAAUGAUUGUUUUUCAUAAAAUUAGUUUUCUCUUUCUCAUUUUUGUGAUAGUUUUCUCUUUUCUUUUCUUUUUUUUAAUAGUUUUGUCUAUUUUAAAAAAAUUUCUCUACUUUAUUAAUGUUAUUUGUAGAAUUUUUUUUCUUUUUUACUUAUUUUGUGGUUAGACCGGAGUCAAGAUUUUUCUCUAAUCUCGUUCAUUUAAAUAGCUUCUAAUUAAAGAUCUUUUAAUUUAUACGACGUGGCUUAUUAAUCAUUUUUCACACUCUCUUAUUAUGGAGUCAGGAGAUUACAUUUCAAAAUCUUGUUCGUGAUAACAAUGAUUUUGUGAAAGGAGCCGCAACAGCGGCGCUCGCCUACCUAUUCUUGAAAUAUUGGGGCCUGUAAUCUGUAUAUUCACUUUCUAAUUUGAUAUCGAUUCUUCCCUAAUUAGCGUUUCUCGUGAUCAGCGUUUCUGUGCCACAAAUACACGGUCUGUCACAUGUCAAUAGAAUCAUAUCUCUUUCAAUGACGUGGCGCGAAGUGAGUGGUGUACUCCUUGCGGACUUAUUGUUACGGUAAACAUCAGAACCAAACUCUUUUUGCCUUUUUUUAACUUUUUCUCAAUUUAAAUUCAUUUCCGGAAAAGAAAAAAGACAAGCCAGAAUAAAAACCCUAAUAGGGUACAAUACAGAGGGGAAAAGAAAAAAAUUUUAAAAAAAAUUGAUCUGGUUGGAUGGUCCCGAUGACAUGGCUUCGUCUCCUUCUCAUCAAACUCAUAUUCCCCUCUCUUCAGACCCUGGUAAUUAAUUAAUUUAAUUUACAUUUAAAUUUUUUUAAAUUUCGAUCCAGAAUUUUAAUUUUUGAAAUUUAGGUUGUAAUUGAGCAUUUGCAAAUCGUUAAUUGGGGAUUGCUCUGCUCAUUUGAUUAGAUUCGUUUUUCAUUUAACCUUUUGUAUUUUGAACUUACCUUCUGUUUGGUUACUUAGAAAUUAUACGAAGAUGAAAAAUUAUGUUCUUUAAGAAUCUUGAAUCUAAUUGGAAAUGGAGAUUUUUUUGGAAACAAUUUCAAAUUCACGCACUAAUUUGUUAGAAUCACAUUUACAAUUUGUUUUCUUAAUUUGUUAUAAGCAACUGAUAUAUUCUUUUUCGAGUUAUUGGUUGAAACUUUAUUGAGUUGCAACAAUUUUUUUUUUUUGCUGUCUUUUUUCUUAUAUUUCAGAUGGAAAGCCCAUAGAUUCAGUGGUUCCAAUCCAUAUUGUGACCAAUGCUUCUCAACUUCCUGCUGAGUUCCUGGAACCAUCGUCUGAGAGGCAAUUGGUCAUUGGUUUUGACUGUGAGGGAGUUGACCUUUGUCGCCAUGGAAGUCUUUGUAUUAUGCAGGUAUAAUGUGUUUUGCCUUCCCGUUUGAUCCAUCUUAUAUUUGUUCGAAACGAAAUACAUCUAUUUACUUGUUUCUGUUUCAAUAGGAAUGAACCAAAUCCCAUCUACUGUACGUAUGUCAAUUUGAUUUAUGAGAAAAUUUAUAAACUUAAGCUUUGUGCUUUUUGGCAGCUAGCAUUUCCAGAUGCUAUAUAUCUGGUUGACGCUAUUCAGGGUGGGGAGACGGUUGUGAAAGCCUGUAAGCCUGCACUUGAGUCUAGUUACAUCACAAAAGUUAUUCACGAUUGCAAACGAGAUAGUGAGGUCUCUUAUUGAAUUUGUUUACUUCUGCAUCAUGGCAUGCAUGAUAUGCUUGACAGUAUGUUAUUUCUGUUUUUAAAUUUAUUUGUUUGUUUUUGUAGGCAUUAUAUUUUCAAUUUGGCAUUAAGUUGCACAAUGUUGUGGAUACCCAGGUAAAUAUCCUUUAUAACCUACUGAAAACUAUUGCAGGAUUGUGUGCCCUUUUAGUACCUUUUCAAGAUAAAGAAAAGGUGUCCAAUUUUGAGUUUGUAUGGAGACAUUAGGAAUGGAAAACAAGUGAAGUUUUGAGCAUGUCAAAGUUUCUGUUUUGUCUUUUUACCUAGAUGCUUAACUUACCUUCAUUUAUGGACGGGUCUGGAUUGAACCUCUUGCACAUAUUAUUGGCUAUGCCUGUUAAACUAUCAUUGACUUUAUCGUUAUCGGCUGGAGAGAUCUUGUAUAUGUAGAAGGAAAAACCAAUCCCAGUUGUAUAAAGAAAUUUUGCAUUGUCAGUCUGUAAUUUACUUUUGGAAAUGGUUUAUGGAGUUAUUUUGGAAACCUGUUAAACCACCAUUAGACUGAUGUGGUGCUUCGAGAUCAAAAUGUAAUGAAGGUAGAGAAGAUUGGUCCUUAGAUGUGGUUGAUGAAUUAUGAUAUUCCUUUUUAGUAAUCAAUAAUAGAAACAAAAUUCUCGUUCAUUAGCACUGGUUUGAUGUUUAAACUUGCUUUUACUUGACAUGGACUUGUACUUUUUGCUAUCACUCGUCAAUUUAAGUAUCAAUAUCCACUUUUACACUUAUGUUACGGGAACAGCAAUUAGAUUUGAAAUCAAUUAUAAAAGCAAAAUUCUUGUUCACUUUGGAGCCAUCAAUUUAUUAUUGACAUAAUCAGUGAACAUAUAUCUAAGAAUGCCUUUUUCUCCUGGUGGACUGCAGAUUGCUUAUUCUUUAAUAGAGGAGCAGGAAGGUCGGAAAAGAUCACCGGAUGACUACAUAUCAUUUGUUGGUCUUCUCGCAGAUCCACGCUAUUGUGGUAUUUAUAUGUCGUGGUAUCCAUUUAAGUAAAUAUUUGUUUCGUGUCGUCGAAACUUUUUGUUUCCUCAAUGUUUGUUUGUUUGGUCAACUUUUUAGUGAGCAGAGUUUAAAUUGCUUUCGAUAUUUUAUCCUUAGUAGUUACCCCUGAUACCUUUCUUUUGUUAAGCCAGUUAGGUAUUCCUGAUUUUGAAGUUAGGAUUUGUAGACAAUUUUCUUUUCCCUGUGUGCAAUUAAGCCAACCAAGACUAGAAAAUAGAUAAGAAGCAAAGAAGAUGCAUUAGUUUCAUCAAUUGCUGUAUUACUGCUUUUACAAUCAUCUUCUAUUCAUCUGGUUACCCUGCUCUGCUGUAAAGUGGCACUCUACACUUUUUAGUUCUUUACUUGAUUUUUUUGCCCUAUCUCUGCAGAGAUUUGAUAAAUAAGGUUUUGUCUUGCCUUUCUGCUCAGGAUUAAGUUUUGGUUUUGUGACUUGAUAGAUUUAAGAGCAUCUUUUUGUUAUAGACUUGAUUUAUUAUUCAUAUUUUACUACUGUUUGAUACUGCCUGCUAGUGUUGCUAGACUCUUCAAAUUCAUGAUCAGACAUGAUUUGUUGACCAUUCUUUAAUGUCUAUGGCUGUCUCAAAGUCGCUCCUGAAAUUUUUGCAUUAAUUAUUAGGUUGCUGAAAUGUGUUGCUUUUAUUUAAACGCAGGUAUAUCUUAUCAAGAGAAGGAAGAGGUUCGUGUACUCCUUAGGCAGGUUAGUUUUGAAUCUAAUUCAUUCUGAAAUUCUGGGCUAUGGUAGUUCAAAUUUUUGGAUCCUAGAAUUAAAAGUAUUCUUGUUGCCUUGGUUUGAUUCUAUCAAAUUCUUUGGGAUGUGGCUUCUUGGGAAGCCAAAUUCUGUUGUUUGGAAGAUUGUGUGAUAGAUUUCACAAUGUAAUAAAUGGCUUCCAGCUAGAAAGGAUAUCAGUAUAUGCUCUUUUACAACAGUUUGCAAGCUAUUAGACUUAAACCUCAAAAUUUAAAACAAGUACACUGUAAAUGUUGAUUAUGAUCAGUGCUGACACUUGGCCCACGUACUCACCAUCCUAGAUACUUAGACAAUUAUGUUUAAAGUUACUGUAUAUAGGACCAUGUUGUUCUAUGAGACAUGGACCUAAAACUUUGAAACAACUUGGACUCUUAGUGUUCAUGAAAAUCAGUGCUGACUCUUUGCCUAAAAACUUACAAAUGCAGACUGAUAAUUUUCAUGAAAAGCAGUGCCAACACUUGACAUUAUAUUUUAUGUUUGCCCAAACAACUUCCCUUUUCUGAUGCUAAGACAAUUUUGUACACAAUUACUGAUAGAUUGAAGAUCCAACUAGUCUGCAACAUGUGCUACCACAGUAAUUGUUCCGCUGGUUGUCAUGUGCAGGACCCCCAGUUUUGGACAUACAGACCACUAACUGAACUGAUGGUCCGAGCAGCUGCAGAUGAUGUCCGCUUUCUACCGUACAUCUAUCACAAUAUGAUGAAGAAACUAAACCAACAAUCCUUAUGGUACCUUGCAGUGCGUGGUGCACUAUAUUGUCGUUGUUUCUGCAUCAAUGAAAAUGAUUAUGUGGAUUGGCCACCUCUCCCGCCUGUUCCAGGUUUUUAUAUCUUGUCAAUUUCCAUACUGUUAUAGAUUAGUGUAACAACAACACCCCACCCCCCGGCGCAUUUGCAUAUUCCCCGGAGUGUAACAAAUUUGUCAAUAGACUUUGUCCAAUCACCAUUUUGCACGAGGGAAUGUUUCCUUGCAAUUACUCAUGUUGAACAUGCGACAUGGGAAGAACAGUCAAAAUAGGGGAGGAAGCCUGGUGUUUGGGUUUCUGAAACUUGUCUACCUUGAUUCCAUUUGAAUUAUAAAUACACGAGGCAAAUUCCAAUUACAUAUCACGCCCACUUAUGCAUGAGUUGAGUUUCAAUAUAGAAUUCUCUGCUCAUAAGCUUCUUAUUAAUAAUGCACUUAAUCAAUCAAUCAUCCAGCAUCCUAUUAACAAACUUACCAAAGAAGAUAAAGUGUUGCUAUGGUGUUGUAAAGUAUCUGCUUAUAGUUUGGUCUAGCCAAUGUGUUUCUUAUGAUUUAUAUCUACUGUUCUGCUGUCUUUCAUGAUCAAUAGGACUUUGGGCUUUCAGUUUAAUAUAAGAGCAUGUUAAAGUCAUUAUCUAAAUUCUGAAUAAGAUGAGUGAUUCUUGAUGGUUGAAAUGUUGCAUAUAUUUAGCGAGAAACAUAGUGCAUUAGUUGUGCAACCCCUUGGUUAGAAAAAUCUGUAUAUAAGCAGCUUAUGAUUUUUAAUAUUCAUUCACUACAGAAUGUUAUUUUGGAUGGUAUCUAGAUUGAUAGUCAUUCAAAACUUGUGAUGUGUUGUUUUAAUAACAUUAUAUGUAAAGUUUCGGCAACUUUUUGUUUUCUUUUUUCCAUAAGCUUGGUAAACCUGCUGUUAGGAUUUCAAUGUGUUGAUCUAGGUGUGCGGUUCAUCUAUGUAGAUUACUUGAUAGUGGAGGGAGAUGUUCCUGAAGAAGAAAUUCUAUCAAUUCUUGAUGUACCCCCCGGAAAGAUGGGACGUAUAAUAGGAAGAAGAGGGUCUUCUAUUUUGGCUAUAAAGGAAUCUUGCAAGUAUAUAUACCUCUUUCUUCUCUCUGUGUAAUGCAUAUCACAAUUUCAUGUUUGAAAAUGCUAAAUUGAUUAUCUUGGUCGCAAUUUUGCAGUGCCGAAAUUCUCAUUGGAGGUGCCAAGGGUCCACCUGACAAGGUUAGUCUACAAAAACUCAAAAUCUAUUGAAUAAUUAUAUUUUCACCCACACAAAAACAUUAAUCUCCUCGCGCAAACUCAAAGAGUUUCUGUUGAUUUAGGAUGAAAGCCUACAUGUACACUGUGAUGUGGGAGUAUGACUGAAUUUUUCAAUCGCAAUGCUAAAUGAAGGACCACACUAGUGCGUUUGUGACAGGAUCCUCCAUUUUUAUCUUUCUAAAAAUGAGAAUAAAUAAAUGACUAAGCAUUAGUAUUCUCACUCCUCUGGCCGCAGCAUGCAAUCAAAACGCAUAUGGUUGUGAAGUUGAUUUAUAUGGUUUGAGAAAUUUCGGAAGCAUUGUGGACAUGUCCUAAGCCUGCUUAGCAUUGAUUAAAGGGCUCUAUAAUUUCAACACUGCUCACCUCUUUUAAUCUUUUAUAAGUUAUAUUACUUAUAUUACUUUAUUACCUUCUCUGAGUUCACUUCUUUGUUGUCAAUUUGCUCCCCCAUUAUUUUGUUAAUUCAUGCUCAGACUUUAUAUAGUGCCUCAAAUUUUUCCGUGAAUCUCAACAGCAAAAUAUUACAGGAACUUUUGAAAUGCUGUAUCAGGUUGUUCAGCGGAACCUCUUCAAUUAUUUGUCGUUAAUUUUGCUUUACAGUUUAUUUUGUUAUUCUCAGCCAUCCUUUAUCAAAGUAUAACAAAAACUUUUAAGGUGAUGGAUUUAGGUUCAUGCAUGUAUAGGAAAAAGGACUCUUCAAAAUAAGGUGUAGAAAUCUGUCUUUCAAGAGCCUGAUAAGUAGUGGGUUCAUGCAGGUAUUCAUCAUAGGACCGGUGAAGCAGGUGAGGAAAGCAGAAGCCAUGUUGAGGGGAAGAAUGCUGGAGAUGUAUUAAGGAACAUAUGUCAUUAUGCUUGUUUGCAACUCUACAAUAAUAAUCACAAGUUCCAGUGGAUUAAGUUUUCUUCUUAAUGUUGUGGCCCUUCCUCAUUAUAUGGUACAGAGUAAUGAUCAUUCACCCUGUAGUAUAGUCUUUAAGACCAUAUAUUUAAUUCCUGUGGUGCUGUGGUUGAACGUGAAAGUUCCGUAGCGAAGCACCAAAACCUGUUUAUUGAGUGAAACAAUAUGUCUAGGUAAACGAUAAAUGAAAUCAAAGUUAAAUAACUACAGGACCAAUAAAAAUGGUUGUAGAAUCAUCAAAUUAAACCUGUUUAUUGAGCAGAUUAAUUUGAAUUCCUAUCCUCCGGUGGUCUGGACCUACGACGGUAGACUACCAUUGUGACAAAAAAUCUUUCACGGUCGGAGGAAAUUUUAAUUUUUGUUGUAUAAAUUUUCUGUUUUGGGACAUGUGACAAACGAAGAAGCUUUAAAAAAAAUCAUAAUCUUUGCAAAUUAAGAUCAUAUUUAAAAUUGAGGUGUAACUUUUGACGUCAAAAACACAAAAAUUGAUACUGUAAUUAUAAAAUAAAAAUUAAUAGUAUGUGGUCAAUGUAAUUUUUAAAUAAUAAUUUUAAUAAAAUUAUUUAAAAUAUAAUAAAUUUUUGGUCAUACAAAUAAAAAAUUAUAUUAACAUAAUUUUUAAAAUACAACAAACUAAACACUUUAGUUCCAAUAUCAACCCCAAACAGGUCUUAACUCUAUUGUCCGAUGCCAAUGCAACUGAAAACGAGUAUACUUAUAGCCUGACAACACCUAUGAACGUUGCAACGUCCCCUAUCGGAAAUGUUCUAGAGCAGCAGAGUUUCAAAUUGCCAAUUUACUUCAUUCAAAAACAUGAAGCAGAUGAAAAUUCCUCCCAAUAAAUAACCAAGCAAGGAGCCACCACAACUCUGCACGACUUAAAAUAUUUGCAACUUCGCAUCCGAUUCGGUUUAACUUACAACAAAAAGUCCUGUAAACUCUCUGUUCAUGAUUACACAAUAAUCAAGUCACUGUAUUGUUUAAUAUGUAUUUAUGGACAAGAAAGACUCAGGCUUGCAAUAUGCUCAACGCUUCGAAUAUCUUAACCGAAUAGGCAAAGAAUAGAGAAUACAGUAGUGAAAUGAACAUGAACAUGGGAAAAAAUUACUUUUUAAAACUACCAAAUUGAUAUUGUUGGCUGCCAAAAUUUGAGAAUGGGUCAUCUCCUACCGACUGUGGAGAUGUGAACCCAGAUUUACUGAAACCAGUUCCAGUGCCCAUCGCUCUCCCCAUGUAAAAUGAUGUUGGUGGACCCUUUUCCCUUUCAUCUGAACCAUCACUUAAUCCACCCACAACCCCUACAUCUGCCAGUGAUACCUUCUUGGCUGCAAAGUGCACAAAGUACCGUAUGAGAGAAACCUAAGGUAAUUAAUUCACAAUAACAGAAGCGGGGAAGACAUGUCAAAAAACUGUUAUAUGAUGCAAAUACAGACGUCAGUAAUAGAUCUGAAACAGUAAACAUGUGACUGUACUAUGCUAGGAAAUUACAGUACUUAGGAAGAUAAUACUUACAAGCAGAUAUAUUAAGAUCAAUGAUCCCACGACUUAAUGAAUCUGCCCAAAUUCCAGACUUCACCUGGAAAGCAUCCUUUUUGGUUGGAGGAUUUGAGACAGCUGAACACGUUCCAACCAAGUUAUUGAGGCUAGAAUCACUGGCAGCAUUUUGUGUGGUUCCCGUAGAUACUGAAUUUGAGUCGGAAGUGAAUGCUCCAAAGAAAUCAGAUCCAUCAUAAUUGUUCAGUGGAACCGUCGCAAAUGGAUCAACAAUAUUAGUAGUUGUUGGCUCAGAUUUUGGAGCCUUAGGUUCUGGAUGCACAGCUGGUUCAGGGGCAGCAAAAAGGUCAACUGGUGCAGGAGCUGCAGAAAAAUCCACGGGUUGAGAAGAAAAUAGAUCAACUUCCGUCUGCAUAAAUGGACAGUAAAAAAUAUAAGAUUAGCACAUAAACAAAUUCAUUUUAGCCAAGGGAGAAUUAUUACACCCUGAUUCCUGCUUACUAUAAACCAAUGCCUCUAAAAUUCCAAAAGUAAACCAAAGUAUCUUUCAAUUUAAUUAAUCAAACAAUUUUAUACAUUCUUUAUGCUCUUAUUAUUGCCAGGUCCGUUAUAACUCAUCCAGGUAAUGUAGAGGAAAAAAAAUUAUUUCAGACUUCUGCAGGUAAUUCCCAAGUCAUCAAAUGCCUUCUCAACAACACACAAACACAAACAUGCAAACACAUAACAUAUGGCAUUUCUAGAAACAUAGAGGAAAAACAAUCUGACCUUAGUCUGAGAAUUUAGUCCCAUUCCUUGCUCAGGUUGUGCUGACACAAAAGUUGCAUCAGCAAAAAGAUCAACCUCUGAGGCAUUACCAUUCGUGGCAGAUGUUUGAGCAGGGGCUGGAGUUGGUGCAUCCAUGAGAUCACCAAUCAAACUAUCUCCAAAUGGAUCCACUUGCUUAGAGUUCCCAGCAGCAGACUCUGUCGAAUAGGCCAAUCCACAACAUAUAGUGAGACACACCUUGCUAUAUGAAUUAUUAGAAAAGGAACCGGCAGUAAUCAUUAGUAUCAACUCUGGUAAUACUUUCUGCAUUCAAUGAAGCAGAAAUUUGGUUUCCACCAAGUAUCUAAUCGUACAUAUUCACUAUAAUAAUAUGAAGUGCAUCUGGUAGAAAUUCUUUCUACAACUACCACAUAAACACUGUUUUGCAGAAAUGGCAUUGGGCACUACAAGGUUUCCACAGCAGCACCAAAUUUCCGGCACAGGAUGUAUACAAUCAUGUAUGUUAUCAAUGAAUCGAUGCCUUGCUAACAGUGAUCAAGCUCUGUGGACUUCAAAUAAUGUCAAAAACCCAUCAAUCAUCCCCAUAAAAAUCUCCUCCCUGGACCCCCUCCCACAACCCGAAAAAAAAAAAAAUACCACCCAAUGUUAUGCAUUCAAUCACUUCUUCAUGAUCAAGGAACAUUAUGUUGAAUGGUCAGAUGACACUUUUUUUUCCCCCAAUCUAUUCAUGUACAAUCUUUUUAUUUGUGGUAAUUGAUUGAAAAUAAAAGUUUAUGGAAGAUACAUACUCCACAAGGGUUCUUUAGACUCAAUUGAAGCAGACAACUGCACAACAUAACAUGUCACACAGAAUACUUACUAUUACUAGAAGUUCCUCGAGGAUCAAAAUCAUCAAAAUCGUCAUCAUACUUAUUUGAAGGAAUGCUUGAGCUUUGAGAAGGAAUUGAACUGUAUUUGUCAGAGUCAUUUGACUUCAUUGCUGAUUUUGAAGCAUUGGAUGACAUAUUGUCUUGAUCCUUGCUGCAAUUUAUCAUUAUCAAAUUAACAAUAUCAUACAUAAAACAAAAUGCAAACUUCAAAGAGGGAGCAUGUGUGAUUACGUAUCAGUGAGUGUGUGUAAGAGGGAAACUUAGACGGAGAGAGAAAAACACUGGUACGGCAUCCUCUUAACCAACUAUCACAAGUGACUAUAUAAAAUUCAAUAUUAAUGCUAUUGCAUGCCAAGCAAUAACACGAAUCUCUUCUCAUGGAGCCAAUAUAAAAAAAUAUAUAUAUGGAGAUAUCUCCAAGAAAACCUUUAAAAUCUUAGCACAUAUGCCAAUCUCAAUCCAUCUCACAGAAACAUAAAAGUUAGAACACAAUAAAGCCAAAAACUGCCAUACCGUGCAAACCCCUUCUUCAAGGUGUUCCCUUGAUUCUCACUUGCAGCCCCUCUGCGUGACUUUCCAAAGGUAUCAUUUCCAGUCUUUUCCUCUCCAUAUGGAUCCCUGUCUUUAUAACUUUCCCUGAAGUUGUCACCUGAACCUCCAUAUCGAUCACUACUUCGAUAGCCACCAGUACCAAAAGAGGCUGAACCAGACUUAUAUGUUAUUCCAGUAGAUGAAAGUCCGAAGUACCUAGUAAUUGCAGCAAGCACACAGUUAAGUUAGAGGGAAUAAUCCAACAGUCAAAUUCAUAGAAGCUGAAGUUAAACAUAUAUUUUCAGUUUCUGAGCUUAUAACUUACUUUUCGCGGUUGGCAGAAGCUUUAUUUCUUACUUCUUGUAUUUUAUCUUUAUUGUUCAAAAGGGCCACAAUAUUUUCUGCCUUCUUCCUCACAUUAAUUCCCAUAUCCUUCCCACUUGGCUCAACAUACUCAAAACUUGAUAGAGACUUACAAAUGACCACAUAAAAAGAACCAUAAUCAGACAACACAAAACUCUUUUCUGAGGCAGUUAGAAAAGUGCUGACACAUUCAGCAAAAACGCAUUAGAAUAGGCCUUACUGAUAUCUGGAAAGUAUGUUCUAUUAUGUCAUCAACUGCACGUUCUGAUCCAUGGGAUAUCAGAUACUCUAUAACAGCCAAUGCCUGAUAUAUAAGAAGGUACAGAUGUUGAGUGCUUUAAAAUACCCUAUUAACCAAUAAAUGAGGGCAGUAGCUAUAAAAGCUUUAUGUGUCAAAUGAUUUCCAACAUUGAUCGAGUGAGUAGUAAGUAAGGUGGUACCUUGUAAACAUAACGCCAGUCCUUGCCAGUCUCAGCCAAUCUUGUCCAUAGAACAUUCAUAACCAUCUGACAUUCAGAGCUAAAAGACAUUGCACCUAAUAAGUUCAAAGCAAGAUAACAUACUUUCAGCACAACAUUACUUGAAAGAAAUUGAGAGAAACUGACAAUUUCUUGGUAGCCUGUGCUAUCUCUGCCAAUGCAGUGCCAUGAGGACCCCAAGGUUCAUUGUCUGUCGCAUCCAAUACCUGCAUUAGUAAUGACAAAAUUCAUAUUUGAAAAAAAAAAUGCAAAGAAAAAGUAAUCUCAUAAUGGUAGGAGUGAUGCAUAUGCUCCAAAGCUUAAAGCUUUCAACUUGAAGCCCAAUCUGAACCUAGAAAGCGAUGAUAUGAUUAGCACAAAUUAACACAUGCAUAUCAUCACCCCAAAAUUUCAAAUCGGCCCAUCUGAUUAUCAAAAAAAAAAUUAAAAAUUACAUAACCAUACGAAGCAACAGGAACAUGAGUUUAGAUAUUAAUAGGUGAGUGUAGAAUAGAAACAAUGAAUGUAAAGUGCAAAACUUGAAAUCGCUUGCUAUUACAGACAUAAACACAAACUAAAUAUCAUUUAGGUAAACCGCCUUUAAGAGUUUCACCACAAACCAUUUCUAAUUGCACCAACUUACAAUCCUAAACUAAACGAUGAAAGCUGGAGCCAAAAACUAAAGAUCAGCAAGGAAAUUCCAAUAUUAACAUUGUUUCAGUGAAAUCAAUUGAUCAAAGUGAAAAUAUGUGAAUCAUAGUAGCAAAGUCAGUCAGCAUAAAUCAUAUCUUACCAAAUUGCAACCUAUCUUUAAUUUUUUAUUACAGUAUAAAUCUUGAAUUUCCAACAAAUCAAAUACAAUAAAAUUCAUUAAAUCUCAUAGUUAAAAAAAAAAAAUCCACAUUAAACAUCAGCAAAUCGUCAAAGUAUAUAUAACAAAAUGAAUGUCUUACCUUCUGUUCAAUCUCCGGAACCUUCAAAACCUUCAAAUUCACCUCCCUCUUUCUGCAAAAAUCAAAAUAAAUAAAUAAAUGGUUCAUUCUGAGCGGUUACUAACCGAAUUGUAAAAUUUUUUAAAAAAAAAAAAGAACAUAAGCUCACAUUUCACGAACCGUCUGAUCGAAUACCUUCAUGAAAUCCAUGAUGGAUCUGUAUCAAAAGAUGAUGUUAUAUGUAAAAUCGAAAUAGUCAAAUUACCGUUUAGAUAGAUCUAAGCAAAUUGCAGGUAAGUGAAAUGUGGGAUCGAAUAAAUGAUAAAUCAAAUAAUUAACUAAUGAAGUGAAUACAAUGAACCGUUAAAUGUUCAGAUCUCGGAGAUUCUUGCAGAGAUUAUUAGAUGAUAAUGAAUCAGGUGUCGAUCUGUGGAUUCAUUACGGGAGCGCGAUAGAAAUAUAGACAGUCAUAAUACUACGCAAGUAAAAGAACGACGACGUUCAGCAACAAUGUCGUUUUCCUUUUUUGGCCUUUUUUCACUUGUACUGUUCUACAUAGGAUAGGUGGGGCCUAAUUUAUUUUUUAUUAAUUAAAUUUAGAGAUGGCAAGAUUUUAUUUUAAUGUCCUAAUUUGAUUGCGGGAUUAAAAUAAAAAAUUCCAUUUGCGGAUAAAAAAUAAAAAUUUUACUAUAUUAUUUUAGUUAUUUUAUUAUUUUAUGUUGACUUAUUAUCAUUGUUCGAGUUUAGUUAACUAUCAAUUAGUAUUAUUUUUAAAUUUUAAUAAUUAACAUCCUUAAAGAGAAAAAAAAAAUACUUUUACUUGAAGAAUGGAAAUGAAAAUUUAAGGACAAAGAGGGAAAAAAAGGUCAAACUGUGAAAACUGUUAUUGAUUUACUAUAUAUACAGUACAAAUAAUAGAUCAUUCUAAGUCUUCAGGAAUUAAUCCUAGUGAUUUUUAAAUAUUUUUAUUUAAUUCGCUAUGUAAAUUCAAAUUCUCAAAAUGAUGAGAUUGAAAAUUUUAAUUUGAAUCUUAUCACUAUAUUUUUGAAAAAAAAAUAAUAAUAAUAACGAUAAUGGUCGUCCGCUCGAUACCAUAGCCACUUCCUCCUCCGGUGGGCGGUGGUUCUCAUUUUGCCAUCUCAUUUUUAAAACACUGGAUCACACACAAACUCAUGGGUUGGGCUUUUUAAAUUUCACACCGUUGGGCUCAUAGAUCUCAGAUUAGAAUAUGGACUAUCGUGAGGGUGCACUUAUUGUAACUAGAAAAAGAUUUGGGCCAUUCAACAAAUGAAAGUAUUAAGGCCCGAAAUUCUAAAAUACUUCGGCCUUUCAAUUUUAAUAUUUUUCAAUUGUAUAAGUGGCUUUGCCUAAUCUAACGUGUAUUUCAAUGUCGUAUUGAUGAUCGUCAUAUGUGCGCACAUAAUUUAUUCUCCAACAAUUACUUUUGGAUUUUAUAUUAUAUUAAACCAAUACAUAAACGACACAUCAGUUUAUAGAUAAUUGUUUAUAUAAAUGAACAGUUAGUGUCUCUAACGUCACCUCUUAAUCUUAGCUAAUACAAAAUUAGAUUUGAAAUUACCCGUGAUGAGAAUGCUUGAACUUCAAGCUAGUGAUAAGAAUACUUUUAAUUUAUCGAUACAUCACUAAGGAUGCGUUUAUAUUUUAUACAAGCUCAACAUUGGCAGAUUGUAAUGUUUGCUAAUUUUUUUUUUUUGGGGGGGAUAUUUCUCCAUAAGUUAUUAUUAUUAUUAUUAUUUAAUAUAUAAUUAAAUGUGUUGAAAAGUUGGAAGAAGAGAAGCAUACCCUUCAUAGUUGAAAAAGUGGUUAUAUUAUAUUAGUAUUACAAUCGGUCACUGUAAAAUUCUGAAUUAAUUAACAUAUUUAUUUGACAUCUUGUGCACGAUUGAUAAAGAGUUCAUAGCGUUAAUUAGUCUCCUAAUUGACUUUGAGAAACACGCUGCAUGAUGUAUGUAAACUUUUCAAAAACACCCAACAAUUUGUUAUUAUAAUAUACAAAUUAUGAAAGUUCAAUGUCGAAAAUGACAAUUGAACUUUGAUUAUGUCCAACCAACAACCAUAAUUUAUCACAAGAACUUAUUCAUAAAAAUUGGUAAGAUUCUCUCAAUAGAAGCAACUCUGAGGCAGGGACCAACACGCGUAUUAAUUUAAUAUAGUUCUAUAAUUUAAUUUAUAUAUCAUUAUUGCUUUGAUGGAAACAUUAGUAUUAAACAUUUAUUUAAUUUUAUCUUCAAUAGUUAGAUAAAUAAAUUAAUUGGCAUGAUGAUUUUGAAAAAGAUUAUCAAAGUUUGACUUGGAAUGAGCUUUGUUUUGUAGAAAAAAAUAAUUGAAAGCGACUGGCCAUUUCAAAAUAUUUAAGUACCGUUGAACACACAUAAAUUUGAGUAAUUAAAUCCUAUGAAUAGUACAGAUUGUAUAAAACAUGUUCCAUUUCCAUUUUUUUUUUUUGUAUAAUUAUAUUACUCUUCUUUAAAAAUUAGAAUAGAAUACGUUAUGUGAUUUUGUCUAGCUGCCUUCUGCCACACUGAAGCAGCCAAAGCCUUUUAUGUUGAUCGGUUGACCAACACCAAGAGUCUAGGAUAAUGAGAUGAUUGUUUUUCUUUUUUUUCUUUUUUUUCUGUUUUUAUUCACUUUUUAAUCACAUACUUAAGAAUUCAGUUAGAAUUAAAGAUAUUGUAACUUUUUAAUUCCCAUUUAUAAUAAAACAAAUUCAUUACCAUACAGUUCGAAUUACAUAUUAUACAUGUAAAAUAAAUUCAUAAAAUGGUUUUUUUUUCUUUUUUCUUUUUUAAUUUCCUUUUUUCUGUUUUUAUUAACUUUUUUAAUCACAUACUUAAGAAUUUAGUUGGAAUUAAACAUAUCUUAACUUUUUAAUUCACAUUUGUAGUAAAACAAAUUCAUUACCAUAGAGUUCGAUUUAUAUAUGGCGACGCUGGUCACUCCAGUCUUAAAGAGAGAUUUUUUCGCUGGUCACUCCAGUCUUAAAGAGAGACAGUCUUAAAGAGAGAUUUUUUUUUUUUUCGCUUGUAGCUGGGCGAUAUACAUGAUAUGAUUAAAAGUUAAAUGGAGUUAACCCAAAAGUACGUAGUUUAGAGAUAUAAAUUUUAAACGUUAGUAUCUUUGGAAUACCUUUUGAUAAUUGUGGUAAUUACUUGAAUAUGGGGGCAAAAUUCUAACAAGUUGAUGUUUUCAUGAACGAUGAAAUUUAGUCUUACUACUUAUUGAACACACAAACUUUAAAAUAAUAUAUUAAAUGUACAAUUUAAUUUUCCUUAAUCGAAGUUCCACCUACCGAAAGAUGUCCUACAUCAAACAUGAUGUAUUUGGUGCCCCUAUCAUGGUAUGCAAACAUAAAUUAACGUUACCUUGUGUAUGUGACAACAAGCUCGAUCAGCAUCUUGCCUGUGGAAACUAAAUGGGGCCUCCUAUCUCUAAUUAGAUGAUUAAUGGUUAAUACCCUACCAUUAAAGAGUAUUCCCUUGUGGCGUUAUUCCUUUUUUAUGACUAAAAAUAUAAACCCUCAACCUCUAGCUUAU